rnacentral:lncRNA from 1 species
UAGAUUAUGGGAUGCAUUUCUGGACUUAGGUAUGAGAAUAUGACUUUCAAAGACGAAAAAAGAAUAUAAAAAAAAAUGGAACAUAUCCUUGUUAGACAUAUGCUCUUAUCUGUCAUUCAAACUCAAAGUUGGAGUAACAUAGCUAGGAAGUGAAAUAACAACUUUAGAUCAAUGAAUAUGGCUGCAACUGAGCAGCAGCAACAUACUCUAGUAGACAACAAUGAAAGGGGCAUCUCCUGUAACUCUUUAUAAAGUAACUGCGCCAAAAUGAUAAGCGAAGUAAUCAAUUUCUGCCAUUAAACUACAUUUUAUGCUUAAGCCCAUUACUAAAAGUAGGAUAUUUUUAACACUCAUACCUUAUGGAACACAAAAUCAUUUCUGUGAUUCUUUGAACAUACUUUUCUAAAGCAAAUAUCUCCACUUUUCCUUCAAUUUUGGCCUUUAUGUAGUAUGUAUCCUUGAGCUGAAACUCUUCAAUAUGAAUAGACUAUAGAGUAGAAGGAUUAAAUAAGUUCAGGAAAAUACAGAUUUAAGGCUCUUUCCAUAGCAAUGGAUUGAGUGAUUGCUGCAUCCGCUGUAAUUUCAUCAUUCAUCCCCUUAUAUAAAAAUGGAAGAAGUAUUCCAAAGUUCUGUGCUUUUUUUUCCUUCAAUCAAACACAUGUAAGACAUAGACUCACGCAGUUAGUUGACAGGUUGUGCCAUAUCUUUCUCCAGUUUCCUACACCCAUGAUGCUCUGUUCCUCUAAGUAAGGUUAGUUUGCUAGAGAAAAACAAGUAGUACAACAAUAAUAGGGAAUCAAGUACUUAAGAAAAAUGAACAAUAAGAAAGACACGAUAGAAAGCAACGAUACGAUAAAACAAAAAUGGGAUAUAACCUUUCAGUGGAAAGAGUUGGAAGCGAAUCUCUGAGUUGUUUCUUUCUAUCAUAACAAAAUAAUGUCAGUACCACUAGUGAUCAUAAGAUUGGCCUUUGUCCUAUUAAAUCAUUUUCUCAACCAUUCACAUUAUUCAUUUUCAAUUAAAUACAAGUAUGACUCACUAAUUUAAUUGUAACAAAAGUAGUAUUUGAGGGAAAAACUUAUCAAUUUACUUAUAAUAAUAAUAUAUAUACUAGUUAUAAGAGUUUAACUAGGAAAAGAAGUAGGCUUUCAUAUAAACUCUAACACUACUUAUCUAAUUAUAUUCUCAACAUUAAAAAAAAAAGGAAUUAAGCUUAUUUUUACUUAAAAGACUUUUGGAAUCUCACAUCAAAACUGUUAACAAACGGCUUUUGAAGUAAAAAUGGAGAAUGUCCCUUAUCUUUGGACACAAGUCUCAUGAUUACUUUUCCAAUAAAGGAAAUAUUAUUGAGGUAUAAUUCUCUGUGCAGAUCCUUGAAAGACUACCAAAUUCUAAAGACUUGAGUUGGGAGAAAACAAUGCCAUCCACGACUUCUUCAGUGUAGAAAAAGCUAUGAUUUCUUCAAACAUUUGGCAAUCAAUAACACUCAUUCUUGUGAGUUACACCAGCUUUUAGCUAUUGUGAAUGUUACUAAAUUUUUGAAUCCGUGGCAUUCUGAUGCCUCCAAAGUUGUCAAAUGUUUGAAUGACACAAAAGAUGGCACUAAAUUCUUUAAUUUACCGCAUCCCAACACCAAUAAAAAACUUCUGCAAGUGACAGUUUGUUCUUCUAAAGAUGUGUUAACUCAAAAAGAUAAUACAACCUUAAUUCCUUCAAGCAAGCAAGUGUUCCUACAUGUUCAUUUUCAUCUCUUACUCCUUCACAUGGAAGUAACGCAUUGAAGGUAUCAUUUUUCCAAAAGAAAGGUAUUCAAGAUUUGGUGAUGACUAAAUGAACCAAUCUGAGAUAGUAACUGUUGCGAAGUGGCCAUUCAUGAGUGGUGAACUCUUCCCGCGAAGCUGCGAGCUCACUUGAAACUGCGAGCUCACCUAAAACUGCGAGUUCAACCUAAUUGCGAGCUUAUCAAAGCAUGAGUCGUUAACAUCUUUGGUGAAUCUCCAGUUAAAGUGCGAUCAGGGUUCACAUAUGUUGAGAUAAAAUGUUUUGUUUAGUCUCCUUAUUUGAGUUUACUUGUCAAAGCAAGAGGAGUUAGUAUUGAUUUGAUGUUUUUAGGUACUAAUUUACCAAAUCGGUUUGUGUAUAAGCUUUAAUUUUGUAUUUUCAUGGUGUAUUAGUGGGGUUUGUUGAAUUAUCUGUAACCACUACACCUAUAUAUAUUGUAUUUCAUGUGUAAAGAAGAUGAUGAGAGAAUUUGAUAGCAGUUCAAAAAUUAUGCUAAGUAUUUUCCUUUUUUUUUUCUCUGUAUUUGUUCUCUCAACUUCUCAGAUCGCCAACAAUUACUAUCAAGAGCCUAAGUCUAGCAUAUGACUUUUUGGGAAGUUAUUGAUUCAGAUAGAGAACCACCACUAUUGCGAGUUAAUCUAACUAUAGUUCAAAUUAGACAGCACAACGAUGAAGCUACUAAGAAGUAUAAGGCUUUAACCUGCCUUCAGAAUGGUGUGUCUGAUGUUAUUUUCGCAAGAAUUAUGGCUUGUGAAACUCCUAAACAAGUCUGAGAUAGAUUGAAGGAGAAGUUCUAAGGGACAAAUAAGACAAGAGAACAACAGCUUUUGAAUCUACAAAGAGACUUUAAAAAUCUGAAGAUGAAGGAAACUGAAACUAUCAAGCAGUAUACAAACAAGAUUAUGUCUAUUGUCAACAACAUAAGACUGCUUGGUGAUCAGUUCAAUGAUCAAAGGGUCGUUGAAAAACUCAUCACAAUUUUACCAGAGAAGUAUGAGUCCAAGAUCUCAUCCUUGGAGGACUCAAGAGAUUUGACAACAAUCUCUCUAUCAGAGCUCAUAAAUGCUCUAUAUGCGCAAGAUCAAAGAAGAGCGAGUAGAGAAGAGGGGCACGCAGAAGGUGCUUACCAAGCAAGGAACAAAAAAACUCCAUGUUUUUCAAGCAACAAAGGCAAGAAGAAACGGAAUCAAGAAAAAGGGAGGCCAAAAAUAGAUGGUGAAAAGAAAAAGUAUCCACCAUGCUCGAAUUGCAAAAAGAUGGGUCAUUCAGAAAAGUUUUGCUAGACAAGACCUGGUGUGCAAUGUAAAAACUGUAAGUAAUUUGGCGAUGAUUUUAGAAUUUGUAAAAACAAAAUGCAGCAAAAAAAAUAGUAGUCUAAUCAAGCUCAAGCUGCUGAUGAAGAUCAAGUUUAGGAGGAGCUCGCAUUCACUGCCUCAUGUUUUACAGUCAACAACCAUGUAAAGAAAAAUUGGUUGAUUGACAGUGGUUGUACAAACCAUAUGGUUUUAGAUGAAAGCAUGUUCAAAUAGAUUAAUAGAUCAUUCAGUUCGAGAAUCAGAGUUGGAAAUGGCCAAAACAUUGAAGCCAAGGGAAAGGGAGAUGUUCAGGUUAGCACUCUUACAGGUACAAAACUUAUUACUAAUGUUCUUUUUGUACCUGAUAUAGAUCAGAACUUGCUCAGUGUUCGUUAGCUUGUUGAAAAGAAUUAUUUUUUUAUUUUUUAAAAGAACAAGUGUGUUGUAUCUGAUUCAAUUCAACGUGAGCUUAUGUUAGUGAAAAUGAGUGACAAGAGCUUUGUUCUAAACUGGAACCUAGUUACUUUUAAAGCUUACUCUAGUUCAACUGAUGGUACUGACUUGCGGCACAAGAGACUGGGGCAUGUCAAUUACAGAUCGGUUAAUAUGUUGUAUAAGCAUGGUUUGGUUAAAAACAUGUCUGAAGUUAACGACCGAACUGCAGUGUGUGAGGUAUGUCAGUUUAGGAAGCAAGUAAGAGUUCAAUUCCCUGCGAAUAAGGCAUGGUGAGCUACUGAGAAUCUACAUCUAGUUCACAUUGAUAUAUGUGGGCCAAUAAAGAUUGCUUCACUUAGAAAUAACAUGUACUUCAUUUUUUAUUGAUGAUUACACUAGAUAUUGUUAGGUGUAUUUUUUGAAGGCCAAGUCUGAAGUUGCUGAGGUCUUUUGGAAGUUUAAGGCCACCGUUGAGAAUCAAGCUUGUUGUAAGCUGAGAAUACUCAAAUCUGAUAAUGGGAAUGAGUACACUUCUGAGAAGUUUCAGAAGUUUUGUGAAGAUGUUAGGAUAGAGCAUCAGUUGACUAACACAUACACUCCUCGAUAAAAUUGUGUGUGUGAAAGGAAAAAUAGUACAGUUAUGGAUAUGUCAAGAUGUUUGUUGUUCGAGAAAAAGCUACCAAACCAGUUGUGGGCUGAAGCUGUGAACAACUCUGUUUAUCUGCUCAACAGAUUGCCAACAAAAGCUGUGAAGGGUAUGACACCGUUUAAAGGAUGGCUCAGGUUCAAGACAUCAGUGUCACACCUAAAAAUUUUUGGUUGUUUGUGCUAUACUUUCAUUCCUACUUUUAAAAAGAAUAAGCUGGAAAGAAGAGCUUAACCAAGUAUCUUUGUUGGCUACAAUAGUUGCAAAAAAAGGGGUAUAGGAUUUUUGAUCCUUUCAGUAGUAAAGUGUUUGAAAGCAAAGAUGUGAAGUUCAAUAAGGAAGCUUUGUGGAAUUGGGAAGCUACAGAAGCUGAGAUGGUUGAACAAAGUCAGAUUGAGCUAAAUGUACGAACUGAUGAAGUUCAAAACCAAGAUGCUGAUUGUUUUGAUGAUCUACCAGUCAGAGGCACUAAGCCUAUAUCUAAGGUAUAUGAGAGAUGUAAUGUUUUCAUAUUAGAUCUUGCAAGCUAUGAAGAGGCAAAAAAAGAAAAUGGUUGGAUAACAGCUAUGGAAGCUGAGAUAGCCAUGAUAAAAAGAAUGAGACCUAGGAGUUGGUUGAAAAUCCAAUUCUCAAGAAGGUCAUUGGUGUAAAAUGGGUUUACAGAACUAAGUUAAAUGUUGAUGGUUCAAUGAACAAACUCAAAGCCAGACUAGUUACAAAAGGAUUUGGUCAAUGAUAUAGUGUUGACUAUACUAAAACCUUUGUACCAGUAGCUAGACUAGACACCAUCAGGCUGCUACUGACUAUGGCAUCUCAAAAAAGAUGGAAGAUACAUCAACUUGAUGUAAUGUUUGCAUUCCUCAAUGGUAUUUUGAAGGAGGAAGUUUAUGUUGAACAGUCAUAGGGAUUUGUAGCUAAUGGCGAAGAGUAUAUAGUGUGUAAGCUAAAGAAGGCUUUGUAGGGGUUGAAACAAGCUUUGCGAGCCUGGUAUGAGAGAGUUGACAAGCAUCUGGUGAGCUUGGGGUUUGAAAGGAAUGACGACGAACCCGCAUUGUAUGAAAAAAGAAGGAAAUGAGACCUCACUGAUAGUAUCCUUAUAUGUUGACGACUUGCUAGUGACUGGUAGUGGUGGAAAAGUGCUAACUGAGUUUAAGAAGUAGAUGUGAGCUGAAUUUGAGAUGUUGAUUUUGGAGACAUGACUUAUUUUCUUGGUCUGGAAAUGUUCCAGUCAGAUCAAGGUAUCUUCAUCAGUCAAAAGAGCUUUGCAUUAAAGAUCUUGAACGGAUUUUGCAUGGAAAACUGCAGGCCAGCAGGAACUACCAUUACUUAAGGUGAAAAACUCUUAAGCCAUGGUGAUUUUGAAAAAGUUGAUGAAAGUAAUUAUAGGAGUCUUAUAGGAUGUCUACUUUAUUUGACAACAUCGAGGCUUGACAUUAUGUUUAUUGUAAAUUUGCUUUCAAGGUUUAUGCACAGUUGCAAUGUUGUGCAUUUUAAAGCUGCGAAAUGAGUUCUCAGGUAUGUUAAAGGAACCCUGAGUUAUGUAAUUAAGUAUGCGAAGGAAAAUGAACUGAAGUUGAGUGGUUUCAUAGACAGUGAUUGGGUUGGUUCUGUUGAAGAUAUGAAGAGCACUUCAGGGUAUUUCUUCACCUUGGGUUCAAGUGUAUUCAAUUGGAGCACAAAAAGCAAGAAACUGUUGCACAAUCAACCGUUAAAGCUAAGUACAUCACAGUAGCUACAACAGUAAGCCAAGCACUUUGGCUAAGGAAGUUGAUGUCUAAUUUAAAUCUUAAGCAAGUGGAGGCAACAUAGAUAUAUUGUGAUAAUCAAUCUGCUGCUGCAUUUACAAAGAAUUCCGUCUUCUAUGGAAAGAUAAAGCACUUCAAGAUAAAGUAUCAUUUUGUUAGAGAAGUUGAGCAAUUGAAUGAAAUGAAGUUGGUUCAUUUCAGUUCAGAUGUUCAACUUGUUGAUAUUCUCAUAAAACCUCUUGGAAGAAUGAGGUUCGAGAGGCUAAGAGAUGGAUUCACAACAUUUUGGCCAAUGAGGAGUGUUGCGAAGUGGCCAAUCAUUCAGUGGUAAACUUUUUCUGCGAAGCUGCAAGCUCACUUGAAACUGUGAGCUCAAGCAAGUCUUUGAGCUCUACAUUUACGAGCUCACCUAAAACUGCAAGCUUAACCUAGUUGCGAGCUCAUCAAAGCUUGAGCUAUUAACAUCUUUGGUGAACCCCCAGUUAAAGUGCGAUCAGGGUUUACAUAUGCUGAGAUAAAAUGUUUUGUUUAGUCUGCUUAUUUGAGUUUACUUGUCAAAGCAAGUAGAGUUGGUGUAUUAGUGGGGUUUGUUGAAUUAUUUGUAACCACUACCCCGGGUAAAAUACCAAUAAAAGCCCAUUUUUUAAAAAUUACUGAAAUGGGCUUGAUAAAAAAUUAAUUACCAGAAUGGCCCAAUUCCCCGAAAGCGCGUCCACGUUAGCCCGAUGUCAGGGGACGUGGCAGGAAAACGCUUCCUCAAGGAAGCGCUUUGCCUACGUGGCAACAAAGAGCGCCCUCAAGGACGCAUUUUCCUGCCACGUAAGCGCUCCCCCGGGGACGCAUUUUGGCCGCUCGUGAACAGUAGCAAUGGCUAAUUUUUUUACCGUUAGUGAACCCUCAACGGUAAAAAAAUACUAUAAAACCCCCCACCCUUUCAUUUUUUUCAUAAAUAAAGCCUUUCUCUAAUUUCCUCUCAAUUUCCUCUCAAAUUUCUCUCAAAUCCCUAUUUAAUCUUAAAUUGCUCUCAAUUUCCUUUCAAAUUUCUCUCAAAUCCCUAUUUAAAAGAGCUUUAAUUUUUUAAUUAUUUCAAAAAAAAUUUAAAUUUUUUUGAUUAUUUUUAAAUCAUAAAAAUUUGUACGAAUUUAGCAAUGGCCGGAGAAUUGAUUCGUCUUGAUGACAAGCACGUAUCCGUCGAACAAAUAAAAAUGGUAAGUGUUAAAUUUAAUUUUCAAAUAUUAUUUAAGAUUUUUUUAUUUAUGCAAUUUCAAAUAAUUAUUAAUUUAUUAUUUGUUAUAAAAGUCUAUAGAUCGGAUAUUGCAAUGCUAUAUCCGUAAUAUGCAUGGUCCUCCAUCACCGUUGGUAGAGAAUUACCUGCGGAAGCGGGUUUUUGGCACGUGGUGACUGUAGGUCGGGGAUGCAAGUUAGACCCGAAACUUAUAAGUGCGUUGAUUGAGAUGUGGAGACCCGAGACGCACACAUUUCAUCUUCCAUGUGGAGAGUGCACUAUCACUUCGGAAGAUGUGAAUCUGUAAUUGGGAUUACCGGUGGACGGGUACCCAGUCACCGGGUCUAUUCAAUUUCACGAUUUGGGAACCGUAUGCUACGAGCUUUUGGGUGCUAUUUCGGAGAAUAUUAACGGAGGUCGGAUCGAGAUGGGUUGGUUACGAGACACAUUCUCAGAUCUGGAUGAUGGUUCAACCUAACUAGAAAGAAUCCGAUAUGCUCGGGCAUACAUUCUUCAGAUAAUUAAAGGUUAUCUCAUGCUGGACUUGUCACGGAACCUCGUACAUCUAAGAUGGCUGCUGAAACUCGUUGAUUUUAAAGCAGUUAGUGAAUUGAGUUGGGGGUCGGCCUUGUUGGCAACACUGUAUUAGGAGAUGUGCAGGGCGACACGACCCAAUAAAGUGAAAAUCGGAGGUUGUCUGUCACUACUGUAGUCAUGGGCACGGUUUCGCUUUCUAUUUUUACGUCCUCGAGUGGACCACCCAUAUACAUUCCCACUCAUAACGAGGUAAAUUUUAUCUACCGAUUUUACAAUUAUUACGUAGAUUUAAAAUAUAAUAGUAUGCUAAAAAUUUAUUUAAUUAGGUGGAACCAUCCGGUAAGUUAUGCUGGAUUACCUAGCUGUCUUGAAGAUAUACGGCUUCUAUUAGACCAAAAGUCGGAAGCACAGGUAAGUAUUAAAUAAAAUUGAUAUUUCAAUCAUGAGCUAGUUGAUUGGUAUUUAGUAUUUAGUAUUAUGUAUUAUGUAUAUAACUAAUAUUUCCAUCAUGUUCAUAUAGUUUGAAUGGACACCAUACGAGGAUCCGACAAUUCGAGCAGUAAUUUCGGAUGAGUACUUGCAAAAUCCAAACGCUUAGCACGUGAAAGUCGCAUUGGUCAACUAUGCGACCGUGGAGAUGCACCAGUCGGACAAAGUAUUACGGCAAUUUGGAUUUCGGAAAUCGAUCCCCGUGGCACCUAAGGUGUUGGAUGAUCAUCACAAAAUCGACCAACGGUAAUUGCAUACGGAUUGGCUGAGAUUCUAGUCAUACUACAUCCAAAUGUGGGAAGAUCGGUAUGAUUAUAUACCUACUCGGGAACCGAUCAUCAUUCCUGAGUUAGCGUGCGUGCCGAAAUACAUGCCAUGAUUUAGGAUCCAAGGCAAGCCAUAUUUACUAUCGGCAGAGAAGAGGCAAUGGUAAUUACGUGUCUAAAGGGAACGACGUUGCCCUUUAAAUCCAAGAUGAAGGGACGACGAUGCAAGCCCAGCAACGAGGCCCAGACAAUCACCCGGCACAUCAUCAACGGCCAUUCAAUCACCAGGCCCAGUGAGAGCACCGAUACAGUCACCCGACCCAGCAGUUCAACCGACGAUACCCACGGUACAACCUUUUUAGAUGAUGCUAGGUGCGUAUCCUAGCCCUUUUAUGUAUCCUAACCCUUAUAUGUUUCCAUUUUCUAGUCCUAUGGUAGGUUAGAGUAAAUGGCCUGGCUCAUCUCCAUUUUUCGUUACGUCGAGUAGACUGCCGAUGUAUAUGCUAGUGUUGCACGAGGGAUCGCAAGAAGAGCCGUUGGAAAGCUCUUCUUUUUACCAAUCGCCAUCACCAUAUGGGUUUCAAACAGCUUCGCCGUUGGUUAUGCAAACACCUACACAGUCAUUAUUCUAUCAAGGUGGCUCAUUGUCCCAACACGGACAACAAGAUACCCUACCGAAGGAACCAGGAUCCUCGCCGGAGCAACCACAACCCCCGCCGGAAGCUGGACAAAGGAGGAAUCCAGCGCGUAACUGUCGACGAUCGCCAUGUGGCACUGAAUCCGACAGACACGAAGAUUGAUUUUUAUUUUAAUAUAUUUGUACAAAAUUUUUGAAUAAUUUGAUAUUAUUUGAUGUAAUAAAAUAGAAAUUCUUCUAUAUUAUUUCAUGCACUAAAAUAGAAAUUUACUUUUACAUUUUUAAUAUAAUGGAAAUUCUUUUAAAUAAGGCAAUAUGUUAAAUAAAGUAAUUGUAAUUUACUUUAAUAUUUUUAAUAUAAUCAAAUUCUUUACAAUAAUGUUCAACUAUUGCGAUUUGGGCAUGAUCGGCUUGUAUGGCUUGGGUUCCUACACCAUCCGCACAACUUAUGUUGACUGACUGUUUCUCGAAUAUCCAUAUUAUUACGUAUUCUAGUCAAGCAAGGUCGACCCUUUGGCUUGUGACGUAAAUCCCUAUCCGGUAACAGCUUAAAGAGAGCAAGCAAUACAGACAGCCACUUACGUUCAUCUGAGAUCGGUGGGAAUACAUGUCUCUAGACGUUGUACAUGUUUUCUAAUUUGUAGACUUCGUCGACAUAGCUCAUCGGAUCCAGACGGAGAUUCUGACGAGCCGUAGUUACAUGAGCGCAUAGAUAACGAAGUGCGUCAAACAUCCCACAGUUGCAAGUCCUAUUUCGCAAGUGUACCCGAUAUUGCUCGCCAAUAACACCUUGGUGCGGUCUAUCAAGCUCUGUCACGCGAAACCAUAAGUUGUCUCGGUCAUGACAGACUAUGUGCAUGGUGUUCGCCCGUGCCUUAGCCUUGUUAAUUUCUUGUACUACCUUACUGCACCACGCAUGGCCUCCCUGCAUCUGGCCUGCAUAACUCACUACUCGCUUUGGAAAUAGCGCCACUAAACGAAAAUAUGUCUCUCGCACAACCGAUGUUAUCGGUAGAUGGCGUGUUCCUUUUAGAACAAAAUUUAUGCAUUCAGCCAGGUUUGAGGUCAUAUGACCAUAUUGUAGGCCGCCGUCGUAUGCUUGUGCCCACUGUUCGAAAGGUAUGUUGUAAAGGUAGUCCGCGCCUUCGCCAUUAAUUGAACACAAAACUACCAACAUCUCAUGAAAAUGAUCUUUAUUUAUUUCAUACCUUGUCAAUAUAAGUUCAUAGCAAUUAUUACAUACCACUCUUUCAAUUAGAAUAAAUUAAAAAUGACAAACGAAAUUAUAUUAAUUGAGACUAAAUACCCAUGUUGGUCACUUGUCGUCGUUCCCUCUUAGAUGGAUAUUGCCUUAGGCAAUGCCGAUGGUGUGUGCGCUGCCAUAAGCUUUCCUGUCGAUCAAUUGUAGCUAGUAUGCCGGUGCCCCAAUCUGAAAUAACACAGAUGUCAGAUUGGGGGCACACAUGCCUCCUUAACCUAGAUAGAAAGAAAUCCCAGUCAUUAGCUGACUCCCCCGGUGUUAUUGCGAACAUAAGUAGAAGAAUUCUCCCACUGCUAUCCUGUGCCACUGCUACCAAUAGCCGAUGAAUAUAUCUACCAAACAUAAAGGUACCGUCAAUUUGUACCAAUGGUUUGCAAUAUCGAAAUGCAUCUCAGUAUUGCUUAAAGGUCCAAAACAGGCGUUUGAACACUUGGCAUCCACAUAGCAAUCGGUCGUUGUAGUGCACAUGUUCGGUUUGAAGGUCCAUUAUGCAACCUGGGACGUAUCUCUCUAGCACUUGACACCACUGCCAUAUUUCAUUAUAUGAACCGUCUCACCCACUAUGUAUCUCCUCCAACGCCUUCUGCUUAGCUAUCCAAGCCUUGUGGUAAGAGGGCGUGUACCCCAUUUGGCUACGAAUAUUGGCAAUUAACACCGGUACUGAAGUCCUGGGAUCUACCUUCAUUGUGGGCAGUAUCAAGCUAGCUAACAUAGCUGAAUCCAUCUUGGGUUGAUCUUGUGAAAUACCUAUAAACGGAGUACAUUAAAUAAUGCAACAUUACAUAAUAAUAGUAUUAUUCAGAAACCCUAAAUACUGUACCUGCAGCAUAUGUAUGUCGACCUUUGUACUUUUUAAUCUCCCACAACCCUGUCUUUUUUCUUAACGAGGAGUAGAUUUUCCAUAAACAUGUACCAUCUUGCACUGCACACUUCGCCUCAAACUUAUCAAUUUUGGACUUAACGAUGUGGUAGUUAACGCCGCUAUUGAUGCUAAGUUGUUUCAAAGCACCAAUAAAACUAUCCUUGUUGGUAAACUGAUUACCAACUUCAAAUUUACCCGAAUCCAGUAUCGAACUUGUACGAUCACGCAACCGAUGUGGUAGGUCUGGAAACUCCAACUCAUCAUCUGCAGACAGAUCGAUAUUAUGCAUGUGGGCUGGAGGUGAGUAUGCCCUGAAACAUGGAUCUUCUUCUUCAUCUGAACUCCCUUCAACAUCUUCAGGUUCGGUUGGAAUAGGCUCCGGUUUAGAAAAUAAUCUAACUUCUACACCAUCGGGCUGGGGCUUUCGAGGUGGACCACAUCAGAGUCAUCUUCUAACCCACCAUCAUCUACAAUGUACGAGGUCCCCUCACUGGUGGACGUCGUAGGGAGUACAUCAUCCCUUCUUCUGGCGUUUCAUAAUGUCCCCAAUUGGAUGUAGAUUGCCAACCAGUAGAAGUUGAUGUCGUUCCCCAGUAAGUAUUUCCAGCAUCAAACAUCGACCCAUCGAGGUGCAUGGCCCAUCCACCGAUAGAGUGUCGUGCAGGGGUUGUGUAUUCCACAUUGCAACCAAACAUGGGCUACUUCGUAUUUUGUAACCCACUAACCGAGUGUCGGGCAGGGGUCGCGUAUACCUCUCGAACACCACUCGCAAGUGCAUCAUUUGGCAAUGUAAAUUUUACAUAUAACUCAAUAUACGGUGCUCCACUAGCGAGAUGAGUCUGCACCAUUGCCUCUAAGCUACGAGCACCUUUUAUGUCGAACGAGUAAUAUGUCACCGGAUCAACAGAAGAACAAAAUCGAUACGUAAUAGACAGAACUUUCAUUGGCGUCGUUCUGAAUAUUUUACGUCUAAUUCUUUUACGAAGUUCUGUCAAAUCUAUGUUCUGGUUAAAAACCGGUCGCAUUAUAUUCUCCGAAAAAAAAUAACACCAUUCUUGGUGUGACAAACCUCACCAUCAUAGUAAAUAAUAGCACUAAUACGUUCACUCAUCUUCAAUUUAUAUCUUUCUUGGCCUCUCUAAAUUUUUUUUUGUUGUAAGUAACUUAUGCAAUCUGAGGGAAAAUUUUGCCUUAUUUAUAGCCUCAGGCCAUGCGCCACUUUAGCAAAAGCGUGUCCACGUGGGAGCUUCUUUCAGCACUUCUACUGACAAAGCAUCCUGCUUAAAGCGUUUUUGAUACUGUUUUCUCAGAAACGUCUACUCAAAAUUAUUUUUUCAGGAGCUACUGUAGCAAAAGCGCGUCCACGUGGAAGCUUUUUUCAAUACUUCUGUUGACAAAGCAUCCUGCUUAAAGCGUUUUCGACACUGUUUGCUCAGAAACAUCUACUUAAAUUUAUUUUCUCAGGAGCCACUGUAGCAAAAGCGCGUCCACGUGGAAGCUUCUUUAAAUUAACAAAUAAUUUAAUUAUGUAACCGUAAACCCCAAAGCCUAAUUUAUUUGAGUUUUUACUUAAAAACUCUAAACACUAAAUCCUAAACUAAUUUAUUAUAAAUUUAUAAUUAAUUUACUCAAGUAACCGAGCAAAACACUAAAAAAAGCCCAAUUUUUUAAAAAUUUACCGAAAUAGACCUGGUAAUAAAAAAAACCCUAAACCCUAAUAUAUUUAAUUUUUCCUUAAAAACCCUUAACUCGAAAUCCUAAUCUAAUUUUUAAAUUUUUUUAAUUAUAUUACUUAAGUAACCCUAAACCCUAAUUUAGUUAAUUUUUUCUUAAAAAAUAAUAAACACGAAAACUAAUCUAAUUUUGAAAAUUUUUUAAUUAAUUUAAUUGGCAGACCCUAAACCCUAAUCUCUUAUUUAUUUAAUUUUUUCUCUAAAACCCUAAACUUAAAAAUGUUAAAACCAUAACCCUAACCCUAAACCAAUAACCCAAAACCCUACCACGAGACACUGGCAAAACGCGUCCUUGAGGAAACAAUUUGCCUACUUGGACAGAAAGCGCGUCCUUGAGGGAGCAAUUUUUGUCCACGUAGGCAAAACGCCUCCUCAGGGACGCGUUUUCCUGCCACGUCCGCUGACAUCGCGCUGACGUGGACGCGCUUUCGGGGAAAUAGGGCAUUCCGGUAAAUAAUUAUUUACUGGGCUCAUUUCGGUAAAUAUUUUAAAAAUUAGGCUUUUAUAUGUAAUUUGCCCCACUACACCUAUAUAUAUUGUAUUUCAUGUGUAAAGAAGAUUACGAGAGAAUUUGAUAGCAGUUCAAAAAUUAUGCUUAGUAUUUUCCUUGUUUUUCUCUAUAUUUGUUCUCUCAACUUCUCAAAUCACCAACAGUAACUCAUGUUUCAGGACAAUCUAACUUUCUUAGUUUGGGACAAUCUUUUCUCGAGUCUGCUCCAUGUCCAUGCCAUACUUUCAUAUUGCCAUUCUGAACCAAAACCAAUUCUUCUAAAUUGGGGAAUGUUUCAUGAGAAAUUAAGGAACGUAUAUAUGUUAAAUAAAAACAAGACUUCUAAAGUGAUUGAUAAAAUAUGCAAAUCUGUUUAGAUUGACCUUUUAUUUAGUUUCUUUUAUGAGAUCUUACUUUACUGACCCAAAAUAGGGGUUGUGGAACAGAGGUAAUGGGUUGGCUCUCUCCUUGUGUUUCUCUAAAGUUGAUAUACUCCUCAGCGAAUGUCUCUACCUUGCUGCAUUCAUGCACCUUCAAUUGUUUUAACAAUGGCCAAUUUGUAGUAUGCUUCUUGGAGUAGAAACCCUUCAAUUGGGGUAGCUUACAAAGUAUCAGCUAUCUUAUUUAAGGAAACACAAACUUGGUGGUUGAUUUGAGCUCAACCGAUUUAUUUGAGUUGAGUGUAUGAUCGUCAGAAAGUCUAAUUACUUAACUCACAUUCCAAUAUUCUUAGAGUUUCUAGUUUUUCAAGUCCUUCCACCUUAUCAAAUGGUAAAACAUUCAAAAUUUUGUCACAAUAUUUCACCUCAAAGUAGGUUAACUCAUUAAAUGAACCCAUAGUGAGUUUAUCGUGGCAUAUCUUUCUACACUUUUCGAUGCCUACAAUCUCCAAAAUGCCAAAGCUAAGAAAUGCAACCUGCAAGAAUUAUUUAAGUUGUUAUGAAAAGUAAUAUUACUACAAAAAAAGAAAAACAAAAAAAGAUUGUUGAAGCAAUGGUCAGCAUGCAGCAACCAAGACUAUCGAGGGCACUACAUGCAGAAGCUGCUAGUUCAUCAAACCAGCAAGCUACUUUUUACUUAUUUUGUAUUUUUAAGUUAAUGUAAUGUAACUUAGUUGUAUUUCAACUAUGUUAGGUUUAUGUUUGAUGUAAAACUGAUGGUGAUUGGGCAUAUUAAUCAGCUUUGUUGAUUUGUACAAGUUAAUUAGCUCAAGUUACUAAGUUUUUUAGUGGUAGUAGGUAGUGUUUAGGUUAACCUACUAUUUUGUCAAGUUGUAAGCUUGUUUAUGUAUUGGCUUUAUGCCAUUUUCAGUUUUUUUGAAUGAAUUCAACAAGUUUUCAUCCAUAUGCUCUCUAUUUUAGCUUUGCUUCAAAAUCUAUUUUAUUUUUCUGCUUUGUUUCUUCUGCAAGUCACAAUUCUUGAUCGACAAGUUUCUUGUUGAACUUGCUGUUUGUUGCUCUCGGCUCCAACAAUUGGUAUCUAGAGCCAUAUUCUUAGAGGACCUGUUGUAGUUUAGUAUCAAAACCAUGGCAUCAUCAGGUUUUUCACCAGCUUCACCACCUGUCUUCAAUGGAGAGGGCUUCAACAUUUGGGCAGUUAAGAUGAGGACUUACCUGCAGGCAUUCGACCUAUGGGAAGUUGUUAACUCAGAUGCUGAGCCAGCACCUCUUCGAGCUAAUCCAACAGUUGCUCAAAUAAGGCAACACACUGAUGAAAGAACAAAAAGGCACAAGGCCAUGUCAUGCAUACAGAAUUGUGUGACAGAUGUGAUCUUCAUGAGGAUCAUGGCCUGUGAAACACCAAAGGAGGCUUGGGACAAGCUGAAAGAAGAAUUUCAGGGGGCUGAGAGAACAAGGCAACAACAUCUGCUCAACUUGAGAAGGGAUUUUGAAAAUCUCAAAAUGAAAGAGGAAGAAACAGUCAAACAAUAUUUAGAUCGAAUUAUGGCUAUUGUAAACAGUAUAAGGCUCUUUGGAGAGCAAUUCAGUGAAGCUAGAAUAGUUGAGAAGGUCAUGUCCACUCUACUAGAGAGGUAUGAAGCUAAAAUUUCAUCCCUUGAAGACUCAAGGGACUUGACAAUUAUCUCCUUAACUAAGCUAAUCAAUGCCUUGUAUGCACAAGAGCAAAGAAGAGCCAGCAGACAAGAGGAGCACCAGGAAGGGGCUUUUCAAGCCAAAGAAGCCUCGAGCAUUAAAAGUCACAAAGGCAAAAAUUUCUGGAAAAACAGGCCUAAGCCUGAUGCUGAUAGGAGCAGUGACCAACUCUGCAGACAUUGUAAAAGAGCUGGUCAUCUAGAAGAUAGAUGCUGGUUUAGACCAGAUGCAGUAUGCCAACACUGCAAGAAAAAUGGCCACAUUGAGAAGGUUUACAAGAACCGAAGCAAACCAAGGCAGAUUCAAUUUCAGCAACAAAGGUAGAAGCUAGAGUGGCUGAAGAGAGUAGUGAUAAAGAAGAACAGGUUUUUGCUGUGUCAUGUGCAGCAAAUCAAAAGAAGGGUUCAAAGGGCUGGCUUCUAGACAGUGGUUGCACAAACCACAUGUCACCAGAUGAAACUAUUUUCAAAACCUUGGACAGAACCUGCAAAACCAAGGUGAAAAUUGGAAAUGGUCAGUUCAUAAAUGUUGAAGGAAGAGGAGAUGUGUUGAUCUAUACUCCAACAGGUGCCAAAAUCAUUUCAAAUGUACUCUUGGUACCUGAAAUCGAUAGAAACCUUCUCAGUAUAACUCAACUACUUGAGAAAGGUUACUCAGUUGUGUUCAAGGAGAAAGAAUGCCAAAUUUUUGAUCCAAGUGGAUAAACCUCAUAACAGUCACCAUGACUGACAAAUUUUUUGAAGUAAACUGGCCAAAUGACUUGCAUUCAGUCUGCAUAGCCUCCACUGAUGACUCUAGACUCUGGCACCAGAGGCUUGGACAUGCAAACUACAAAUCCAUAGCUCGAAUGGCCAAUGAAGGACAUGCUGAAAACUUCAUCGAUUCAGUAAAGAAUGAUGAGCUUUGUGAAAUAUGUCAACAAGGAAAAUUGGCAAGAUUGCCAUUUCUUACAAGCACAACAUGGAGAGCAUCAGAGAAGCUGCAACUUGUGCACACUGAUGUGUGUGGACCAAUGAAGACUGACUCUAUCAAAGAAAAUAGGUACUUUAUUCUCUUUGUUGAUGAUUAUACAAGAUACUGCUGGAUUUAUUUCCUAAAACAGAAAUCAGAAGUUGCAUCUAUGUUUUCAAAGUAUAAAGCUGCUGUAGAAACUGAGUCUGGUUGCAAACUUAGAGCACUGAGGUCAGAUAAUGGAACUGAGUAUACCUCAGCUCAGUUCUAAGCCUACUGUGAAGAAGUAGGCAUCAAACACCAGUUGACUAAUGUGUAUACACCCCAACAGAAUGGGUUCAGUGAAAGGAAAAAUAGAAGCUUGAUGAAUAUGGCAAGAUGCCUUCUAUUUGAGAAGAAUUUACCCAAAACUUUGUGGGCUGAAGUAGUUAAUACAGCAGUUUACCUCCAAAACAGGCUCCCAACCAAGGCUCUAGCUCAGAAGACUCCAUUUGAAGCCUGGUUUGGGUUCAAGCCAUCUCUGGCUCAUCUCAGAACAUUUGGUUGUCUGUGCUACACUCAAGUUCCAGCUGAGAAGAGAAGCAAGCUAGAUAAAAGGGCUUAAGCAGGGAUCUUAAUCGGCUAUAGCAUGGUUAAAAAGGGCUACAGAAUCCUAGAACCUGCUACAAACAAGAUACUAGUAAGCAGAGAUGUUGUGUUCAAUGAAAAAAUAUGCUGGAAUUGGGAGAAGGCUGAACUAGAGGCAGUAACUGAAUACCUGGCAUUGGACCAACCUGAAACUGAUCAAAACACAUCUGAAAUAGAUAUAGAUGAUGUUCCAGUUAGAGGCACUCGAUCAUUGACUGAUGUCUAUGAAAGAGCACAAGUGGCCAUUGCUGAACCAAAUUGUUUUGAAGAGGCAGAAAGCCAGGAGGGCUGGAAACAGGCAAUGAUUGAAGAAAUCAAAAUGAUUGAAAAGAAUCAGACCUGGAGUCUGGUUGAAAGACCAACAAAUAGGAAGACUAUUGGUGUAAAGUGGGUCUAUCGAGUAAAAAACAAUACUGAUGGUAGCCUAAAUAAGUUAAAGGCUAGAUUGGUUGUGAAAGGCUUCAGUCAGAGGUAUGGAUCAGACUAUCUGGAGACCUUUGCACCAGUAGCCAGGUUCGAUACCAUCAGACUGCUAGUUGCCUUAGCAGCACAAAGGCAGUGGAUGAUACAUCAACUUGAUGUAAAAUCAACAUUUCUAAAUAGAUAUCUUGAAGAGGAGAUUUAUGUGGAGCAACCUCAAGGUUUCGAGGUGUCUGGCAAAGAAGAAAUGGUGUACAAGCUCAACAAAGCCUUAUAUGGCUUGAAACAGGCUCCAAGGGCUUGGUAUAGCAGAAUAGAUGGCUAUCUGACAAGUCAAGGAUUUGAAAGAAGUCUCAGCGAGCCAACUUUGUAUGUUAAAUCAACUAGUGUUGAAACUCAGCUCAUUGUCUCAAUAUAUAUCAAUGAUUUACUGGUGACAGGAGGAGAUCGAGAGAUGCUAAGCAACUUUAAAGCCAAAAUGCAACAGCACUUUAAGAUGUCAGACUUGGGAUUGAUGUCUUACUUCUUAGGCAUAGAAGUAACUCAAGCUGAAACUGGAAUUUGGCUAAGUCAAAAGACCUUUGCUAUGAAGAUUCUCAACAAAUUCUCAAUGGAGAAUUGCAAAGCAACCAGCACACCGAUUGCUAUUGGAGAAAAGCUAUCGAGCCUAGGUAAGCAUGAAAAGGUUUGUGAAACAACCUAUCAAAGUCUAGUUGGAUGUUUGUUGUAUUUGACUGCUACUAGACCUGACAUAAUGUAUGCUGUGAUCCUACUCUCGAGGUUUAUGCAUUGUUCAAAUGAAAGUCACUUUAGAGCUGCAAAAAGGGUUCUAAGAUACAUCAAAGGAACCUUGUCCUACGGAAUGCAGUUUAUCAAGGCUGAGAACUUGAGGCUGGUUGGCUACUGUGACAGUGACUGGGCAGGUUCUUUAGAUGAUAUGAAGAGCACUACGGGUUAUGCAUUCAACAUAGGCUCUGCUAUGAUUUGCUGGAGUUCAAAGAAGCAGGGAGUAGUGGCUCAGUCGACUGUAGAGGCAGAAUAUGUGGCUGCUGCUGCAACAGUCAAUCAAGCCAUAUGGCUUAGAAAAAUUUUGAAAGACAUUAGCCAUGAACAAAAUGAAGCAACUGAGAUAAUGUGCUGCAGUUGCUAUUGCAAAGAAUCCUGUUUUUCAUGGAAGGACCAAGCACUUCAAUAUCAAGCUCCAUGUAGUUCGAGAAAUGGAGCAAGCUCAAGUUAUUAAACUGGUUCAUUGCAGUUCUGAAGAGCAAAUUGAUGAUAUCUUGACAAAGGCACUCAGUGUUUCAAAGUUUCAACACUUGAGAGCUAAGAUGGGAGUUUGCAACAUGCUAACCAAGGAGGAGUGUUGAAGCAAUGGUCAGCAUGCAGCAACCAAGACUGUCGAGGGCACUACAUGCAGAAGCUGCUAGUUCAUCAAGCCAGCAAGCUGUUUUUUACUUAUUUUGUAUUUUAAAUGUAAUGUAACUUAGUUGUAUUUCAACUAUGUUAGGUUUAUGUUUGAUGUAAAACUGAUGGUGAUUGAGCUGAUUAAUCAGUUUUGUUGAUUUGUACAAGUUAAUUAGCUCAAGUUACUAAGUUUGUUAGUGGUAGUAGGUAGUGUUUAGGUUAACCUACUGUUUUGUCAAGUUGUAAGCUUGUUUAUGUAUUGGCUUUAUGCCAUUUUCAGUUUUUUGAAUGAAUUCAACAAGUUUUCAUCCAUAUGCUCUCUAUUUUAGCUUUGCUUCAAAAUCUAUUUUUUUUUCUGCUUUGUUUCUUCUGCAAGUCACGAUUCUUACUCGACAAGCUUCUUGUUGAACUUGCUGUUUGUUGCUCUUGGCUCCAACAAAGAUUAAUAUCACCUUUUGGUUGAAGAGAGUAUUGGUCACUGAGUUUUCUUGAUGACAGAAUGUCCUUAGUUUUGGAAGCCUAAUGAGCGCCAGUAAUUGUAGCAUAAUGAGCGAGUAAAUCUGAGGUAUCCCUCCUUCUGCUGCCACUGCUAAUCCAUCUGUAAAUUUUAUUUCUUCCAUGUUCUCACAAUCGAAAAGAAUAAGUUGAUAGAGCCGCUCAAAAUUUUUGACUAAAAAGGAUGGGAAUAGAUAUUCCAAAUUGUGGGAAUAGAUAUUCCAAAUUGUGGCAACCCUUCACAGUUAAGUUACGUAAGUUGAGAACAAUAGAGGAUAUAGCCACAAUUUUUAUGUUAGUUGAUGAUAGCUCCAAGUGCUCCAAGUUGGUACACAAAACCUACAGACACAAUCCUCAUUGCAUGAAUUAUGCAUGCUUGUGAUGAUAAAUACAUACACUCAUUACUUAAUGCAUGCUGAAGCAUUUGUUGUUAACGUGAUUGUUAAAUUUCAAAUUCAACUAAUAGAAACAAAACAAUUUGAAUUAUCAUUAAAAACAAUUAUUCAAUUAAUGGUUAGACUUUUUUUUCUAUUUAUUUUCAAGAUUAAGGAAUUAAUUUUUAAUUAAAAGAAGUUGCAUCCUUCAGAGUUUAAUGAUGACUGAAUAAGUAUUCUAUUUGAUAUCAGGAACCUUCGAGUAGAGUCUGAUUUUUCAUAUUUUUCAUACUCUGGGAAUGUGUUUUCUAGCAUUUGUAGGAAGGAUUGGAGUUAUGAGUGCAAAUUGUUUGCAGUCGUAAAUCAACUAAAAUUUUGAAAAAUGCAAGUGCACUUAUCAAUUAAUAGUAUAGUUACAGUGAGUAAAGACAUAGUUCCCACAAUGGCUAAAAGUACUAGUAAUUACUGUUUUUCUAUUAUUUAACCGACAAAUUGGAGUGAUUAAUUAAAACUAAAAUUAACUAAAUCAAUUAACUAAAGAACACGACAAAGAACAAACCAAGAAAAGAAACGAUUAACAACCAAGAAGCGAGACAAUACUCAGAAAAGAAUUCAUCUAGACUUCAUCUGACACUACCAAUCUAAAAAAUUACACAACUUCUUCACUUAGUAUCUUAAUCAGUAGAAAUCCCUAAAUUAUACUAAUAUCUCUCUUUAAGAUUAAGAGCAACUCUAACUCUAGGUUGAUUAAUUAAUAUCUUUUUCUAAUUAAAACCACUAUUGUUGCAUUAACUCGAUCUAUGGAUCCCCCUAUUAGAUUUGACUCUAAUCCGGUAGAUUUAUGUCGUCCUAUUUCUAGGAAUGCAUGCAACUCCACUCAAUUAUGCUAGAUCUACUCUUAAAUAGGAUUGUCGAAACAUUUUUGAAAUCGACUUUUUAUUUUAAAAAAUGAAAAUGGAGUCACCACCAAUCAUUUUUAUGAGAUGUGAUCGGAUCACCUCGUAACUUUAAUAAAAAGUUUGAUUUAUUAAAGUGACUUUUAGUCUAUAAAAAUCCAAGAAAUGAGUUCGGGAGUCGGUUACGCACGAGGAAGGAUUAACACCCUCAUGACGCUCAAAAUUGGUACCUAAUUGUUACUCGAUUUCUUAGUGUCGAAAAUUAAAAAUUUGAAGAGAAUUUAGAACACGAUCCCAUCUUGCAUAAUGAUAUUUUAACUUAGAAUCACUUAAGUAAAUUAAAACAUAUGUAAGAUGCCUUCUCAUCUCGAGGUAAAUAAAAAGGUCACAUCCCGUAAGUUAGGACACGACAUCUCAAAUCCUCAAACAUAAGUUUGCUCAUUAUUCGAUUAUUAAUUACAUCUCAUGUUUUAAUUUUAAAAGGGAUGUUCAGUUAUCUAGGUUUAAGGAGAAAGUCAGACCCCGUAAGUUAGGGCACGACUUCUCGAAUCUCUAAAUAUGGGACAUUGCCUUAAUUUUAAAAUUUCCUUCAUUAAGUAAUAACGAAUGUAACAUUUAAAACAAUGUGUAUUUAUCUUAUUUGGGUAUAGUAUAAAAACGACCAAUUAUAUUUAAACAUAAUGUAUGGUAUAGUAAUGAUGAAAUAAUAUAAAAUGACUAUAUGGUUAGAAUAUUAUAAUGAUAUAUAAUAAAUAAAUAAAGGAAUACUAUUAUAAUACUAAUUUAAUAAUAAUAAUAAUAAUCAGAUCAUAAUAAUAAAAUAAUUAUGGUAACUUAAAAUAAAAAUAAAAAUAGGAAAUGCAUGAUUAAAAAGAUAAAUAAACAUGACAUGAAAAUAUAAAAAAUAAUAAAAGAAAUAAUAAAAUAACAAGAACAAAAAAAUAAAAAUAAAAUAAUAACAACAAUAAUGAAAAAAUGCACAAAUAAAAGAGUAUAAAUAAUCUAAUUUUUAAGUGUAAGAAAAAAUAAAGAAGUAAUAAAUAAAUAAAUAAAUUGUUUGUAGAAAGGUUGAAAUUAAAUAAACAGAGGAUUUAAUUGAAAUUUAAAUGAAAUUAGGGGGUAUAAAUUGUAAAUAAUAAAAAAUAGGCUAAUAAGGAUUAAAAUGUAACGAGCUAAAAAGGACAGGGACCGAAUAGGAAAAUAUCCCUGUCCUUAUGCGCACCAUUUCUUAGAAGGACCAAACUAAAAGAACUUAAAAUUAAAUGGUAUAAAUUAAAAAAAGGAAAUAGGACUAUGUUGAAAAAUGUUUAAAAAGCAGAAGGGUUGGGGCGGCAAUUAGACCAUUGCCGCGAAAACAUGCGGAUCCUAGGACGGGUCGGGUCGGUCUUCGGGUCGGCUUUAAAAUGAUGUUAUUUUGGGGCGUUUAGGGUGGAUGAAAUGGCACUAUUUCACUAAGCCUAUUUAAGUUGAUUUUUUUUAAAAAAAAAUUCAACCCUCAGUAAAAAGAAAUCCAAAAACCCCAUUUUCUUUGAAGCAGUUUCUGAGUUCACCCACUAGUCCGACAAGCCUCUAUGACGGCCACUGGUUGCCGGCGAUGGGCUCCACUAUUCUUGGUGGCCGAAAAAUGAAAAAAAUCCCUCUUUUAGCCUUUCGGCUCCCAGAAUCCAAAUCUGGGGUCGAUGUCCCUGGAAACUCGUCAAAAGUCGCAAAAAAUAAAGAACCCUUCGAUUUUAGGGUUUUAAAAAAACUUUUCGUCGUAAAAGGGGUCAAAUUUCAUCAGAGGUGACGACCUCGGCCACUUACAGUGGCAGAACACGAUGUGUCAGGUAAGUUUUUCCUUUUUUUAUUUUAUGUUUUUUAUAUAUAAAAAAGAUUCAGAAAAAAAUAAAAAAAUCAACUCUAAAAUUGUAUAUUCUGUUUGCUUUUUUAUUACUUUUUCUGUAUAUUUCUCUCUGUAAAAUAAUACAUGAUUAUCCUGUCUUUUAUAGCCGAAUACAAACUGUUGUUUUUACUGUUCGUCUACUGUUCUUGUGCAUUCAUAUCUGUCCUUUUUCUUUCUCUUUUCUUAGAGGUGGCGGAUUCAACAAGGAUAUGAGGCACACCCUUUGCCAUUUUAGUGAAAUGGCGGUAGAAAGGGCAGACCUUACGACGAGGAUCCUUGAGCGGUGUGCCUGCGAAGGGAGGAGUGACGCAGUGGGCAUUAGGGUUUUUGUUUAGUUUUUAGUGUCGUGAGCUUUAAGUUUCUUCAUUUGGGCCAUAUUUGGCCACAUUUGUUGUAAAUGGACUCUCUAUUUAUUGGACUUUAUUGUUUAUUUUUUUGGUUUUGUUUAUCUAAUUUAUGUUUGGGCCUUUUAUUUGUUUGUAAUUUAGGCCCAAACAAAAUUGGGCUAUCACAACUGCCCCUCUUUGCUCGUUAUUGUGUAACGAGAAUGGAGCAAAGAAUUUAAGAAAGACCAAUUUUGGUCUCGCCGGAUCUCGACUUCUUUGGUGCUUCUCUUCUUCGAGUAGUCUUAUUCUAAUCCACUGCAACUUCAGAGGUAUAGGAUUUGUCGCUUCGAUUUGUUCCGUUGCAACUUUAGGGAGAUGAAAUUCGUAGCUUUAAUCUACUCCACUGCCACUUCAGGGAGAUAAGAUUCGCUAUGGUAGAUUUAAUCAUACCUACUGCAACUUCAGAGGUAUAGGAUUUAGUUUCAAUCUACUCCACUGGAACUUUAGGGAGAUAAGAUUUGUUGUUUCAAUCUAUUCCACUGCAACUUCAGGGAGAUAAUAUUUUUUGUUUCAAUCUGCUCCUCUGCAGCUUUAGGGAGAUAAGAUUUGUUAUUCAACCUACUCCACUGCAACUUCAAGAAGAUAAGAUUUGUAACUUGUAGCUUUAAUCCGUUCCACUGCAACUUCAGGGAAAUAAGAUUCGCUAUCUACAAUCUGCUCCACUACAACUUCAUAGAGAUAAGAUUUGUAACUUGUAGCUUUAAUUUGUUCCACUGCAACUUUAGGGAAAUAAGAUUCGCUAUCUUCAAUCUACUCCACUGCAACUUCAUGAAGAUAAGAUUUGAAGCUUCAAUCUGCUCAAUUGCAACUUCAGGGAGAUAAGAUUUGCUAUCUUCAAUCUGCUCUACUGCAACAUUAGGGAGAUAAGAUUUGUGGUUUCACUAAUCUGUUACACCUUUCUUUAGGGAACAUUACCUGUAGAAUCCAUUUCAUGAGCCUUUAUUUAUGCCAAGCGAUUAGGAUGUUAUGAUCAAAAUGAAUCAAAUGCUCCUAGCUAGAUAUAAAUGAAUGAUAUUUGUGUGCAUGCAGAAUGUCAUUUUUCGGGAAUGAUUCCCUUUUUAGUACUUGGGUUAACACUGCUUGUUGUUCAUCAAGGUUCCAUCACUGAUGUAUUACCAUGCCUUCUUGCUCAGAUCUGGUAUAUUUGACAGGAAAUUCGAAGAAAAAAUCACAAUUCAAACUAUACUUUCCCAAAUAUUUCCAACCCUUAGAUUUGGUUAGUUCUGACUAUUGGUCCUAUUUCAGGUCCUUGUACUAUUUAGAAAACCUUUCAAAGCAAUAUGCAGAAAUCCUUUUACUUGAAUUUUAUUAGUCCAUUAAUCUUUAUUUCAAUGAAAAAUGCUUGAAAAAGAUCGUAACAAAGAACAAGACUGAAAUUUAUAGGGAGCAGAGCUCUAAAUUAAUAGAUUAAUCAAAAUAGAAAACGUUGCUAAAGUACAAAAUGAGUAAGAUAAAAAUAGGUGCCCCAGAUAUCAUAGCAUGAGCUUCUCCGCACAAAUUUCUCGAGGACCAUUUUGAGCUUGAUAUAUGUUUAGGAGAUCUAGAGUACUUUGUUGAUGCCCAAGAUGUAACAUUUCUUCUUCUGAGAGGACACGACUACCGUAUGUUCAAUAUUCGAUCUAAAUCUUAGCUGCCCUUUUCCCGGGUUUUCAACUCAAAACCCCUUUGGUCUCAAGGUGCCCUUUUGCAAUUUUUCACCUUGGCCUCUCUUUUUUUAGGUGAAAUAUUUCUCAAUUGAGCCUUAAUUCACAGGAUUAAGCAGGUUCUUGCCAUCUAUCUCGGUCAAAAUUAGCACUUCCCCAGAAAAGACUUUCUUUACCACAUAAGGUUCUUCCCAAUUUGGCAUCCAUUUCCCUCGAAGUCCUUUUGUAUGGGCAGGAUCUUUUUCAAUACUACGUCUCCUUCAUGGAAUUCUCUAGGGUGAACAUUUUUGUCAUAAACUCACAUCAAUUCGCUUUUGGUACAUCUGACCAUGACGGAUAACUUUCAACCUAUUCUCUUCAAUGAAGUUCAAUUGAUCAUAUCGAGAUUGAAUCCAUUCUACUUUGUCCAACUUCAACUCUGACAAAACUUGGAAAGAAUGAAUCUCAACUUCAAUGGGCAAAAAUGCCUCCAUUCCAUAAACCAAAGAGAAAGGCGUUGCCUCGAUGGAGGUUCUAACAGACGUUUAAUAAGCAUAGAAGGCAAAUGGUAACUUCUCAUGCCAAUCUUUAUAAGUCUCAUUCAUUUUCCCCACAAUCUUCUUAAUAUUCUUAUUGGCUGCCUCCACUGCACCAUUCAUUUUUGGGCAAUAUGGUGACGAGUUGUGGUGUUUGAUCUUGAACUGACUGCAGACUUCUGAUAUCGUGUUGUUGUUUAAAUUUAAUAAAUUUUCAGAUAUGAUCAUUUCUGGAAUUUCAUACCGACAUAUGAUUUCUUUCUUCAAGAAUUUACUAACUGCCGAUUUCAUGAAGUUUGCGUAAGAAGCAGCUUCUACCCACUUGGUGAAGUAGUCGAUGACCGCAAAGAUAAAUCGAUGCCCAUUGAAAUCUUUUGGUAAUAUCUGCCCAAUGACAUCCAUGCCCCACAUAGAGAAAAGCCAUAGAGAAGUCAUAACAUGAAGAUGUGAAUGAGGAACAUGAAUUUUGUCUUCAUAAAUUUGACAGUUAUGACAUCUCUUGGCAUAAUUGAUACAAUCAUUUUCCAUGGUGGACCAAUAAUAUCCAAAUCUCAUUAUUUUCCUGACCAUUGUAAAACCAUUAACAUGUGUUCCGCAGACACUCUCAUGGACUUCUUCCAAGAUUUUCUUAGCCUCAACAGCAUCCACACAUCUUAGUAGCUCAUGAUCCUUUCUAUUUUUGCAUAGGAUAUCCCCAUCUAAGAUAUAGCCAUUGGCCAGUCUUCUAAACGUUCUUUUAUCAUUAUUAGUUGCUUGAUCAAGGUAUUCACGAUUCUUCACAUAUCGCAGUAUAUUGUGGUACCAAUGGUGGUCAUCCUUUUCUUCUUUCUCAAUGUUGAAACAAUGGGUCAGAGCCUCAUAAAUACUCAUCUAGAUAGGUUUUACAUCCUCUUGUUUGUUCACUUUGACCAUGGAAGCUAAGGUACCCAGGGCAUCAGCCAUUUAAUUUUUAUCUCGCAGGAGGUAACAGAAGGUGAUGUCAUUAAACUCUUUAAUUAACUCCCAGACCAGCCUUCUAUACUCAAUCAACUUGGGAUCUUUUGUCUCCCAUUCAACUUUGAGUUUAUAGAUCACUAGUGCGGAAUCCCCAUAUACCUCCAAUACUUUGAUCUUGCAUUUUAUGGCUGCAAGGAUACCCAUGAUGCGUGCUUCAUAUUCCGCCAUAUUUUUCAUGCAAUCAAAAUCCAAUUUACUUUUAAAGAGAUAAUGAUCUCCGUUUGGGGAUACUAGGACUGCCCCGAUUCCAUUACCCAUAGCGUUGGAGGCCUCAUCAAAAUUUAGUUUCCAAGGAUGUUCGUCUUGAGCAUCUUCUUCAAUGGUUGCAAAAUACAUCAGAUCUUUAUUUGGGAAAUCAAAGUUCAAGGGCUCGUAAUAUUCUAGAGCUCUACUGGCUAGAAAAUCUGUUAUUGCACUCCCUUUUACUACCUUCUGGUUCACAUAGAUUAUAUCAAAUUCAGAACGUAGAAUCUUCCAUUGGGUCAUUCUUCCAUUUAAAAUAGUCAAUUCCAUCAUGUCCUUUAGAGGGUCUAUUUUUUAGAUUAGCCAAGUUGUGUAGUACAGCAUGUACUGUCUUAGUCUCUGGGUUGUCCAGAUCAAGGCGCAACACAACUUCUCAAUUGACGAAUAUCUUGUCUCACAUUUAGUGAAUUUCUUACUUAAGUAGUAUGUCGCUAUUUCUUUCCUCCCUGACUCAUCAUGUUGGCCCAUCACGCAUCCCACAGAAUUCCCAAAUACUGCUAAGUACAAUAUCAGUGGCUUAUCUAGACUAAUUAGCAUUAGCACUGAGGCAUUGUACAGGUAAUGUUUGAUCUUAUCAAAAGUCUUUUGGCAUUCCUCAUCCCAUACACCUGGAUUAUGUUUCUUAAGGAGACAGAAUAUGGGGUCGCAUUUCUCAGUUAGUUGUGAAAUGAAUUGGGCGAUGUAAUUUAGUCUUCCUAGGAAACCUUGAACCUCUUUUUGAGUGUGUGACGGAGGCAACUCCUGUAUAGCCUUCACUUUAUCUGGGUCUAUCUCGAUCUCCUUUUCACUAACUACAAAUCCUUGCAAUUUUUGACCUAGCCCUGAAGGUACAUUUUGCUGGAUUGAGUUUUAGCUAAAAUUUUCUCAACCUCAAGAACAAUUUCCUCAGGACUUGUAUAUGCUCUUCUUCUAUUCUGGAUUUUGCUAUCAUACCAUCGACAUAAACUUCAAUUUCCUUGUGCAUCAUAUCAUGAAACAAAGUUACCAUGGCUCUCUGAUACAUCGCUUCCGCAUUUUUUAGUCCGAAUGGCAUCACUCUAUAGUAAAAUAUUCCCCAUAUGGUUAAGAAUGUGGUCUUUUCCAUGUCUUCAGGAUGCAUUUUUAUCUAGUUGUAACCGGAAAAGCCAUCCUUGAAGGAGAACAAUGAAUAACUGGCCAUAUUGUCUACUAAGGUGUCGAGGUGAGGCAAUGAGAAAUUGUCUUUUGGGCGAGCCUUGUUUAAAUCCUUCUAGUCUACACACAUUCGUAUUUUCCCAUCUUUCUUAGGGACUAGGACUAUAUUGGCUACCCACUCCAGUAUUUAACCACUUGUAGAAAACCAACGUCGAAUUGUGUUUUGACCUCUUCUUUUAUUUUUAACAGGAUGUCGAGCCUCAUCUUUCGGUGUUUCUGUUGAGUUAGCUUGCAUUCUUCUGUUAUGGGGAGCCAAUGUACCACGAUAUCAAUACUUAGCCUAGGCAUGUCUUGAUAUUACCCUACAAAGACAUCUUUGAAUUCUUGAAGUAACUCAAUGAGGUCUCGCUUUGUUUCUGCAGUGAUGCAAGAUCCAAUCUUCACUUCUUUCUUUUAUUGUUUGUCUCCCAAACUCAUAAUUUCUACAGACUCUUUGUAAGGUAAGAUUUUUUUUUCAUCUUGUUCUACCAUCCUUAAAAAAUCAGGAGAUAGGCUUCAAUCUCGAUCAUCUUCAAACUCCUGAGGUUCCUCUAGACACAUAUCUUGCUCAAAAGGAGACUCUGAGUCAGUAGCAGCGUCGCUCGUAUCAUUGAUAUCUAGAGACCUAUUGUAGGAAUGAAUGAAGAACCAAAGAACAAAUAAAUCUAAGAAUAAUUAUAUGUGUGGUAUGAGUACGAAUGAAACGGAAAAAAAUAAAAGAAUAUUUGCCAAAGUGAGACACAAAAAUACAUUUUAUUGAAAUAAAGAUUUUAGACAUAUGCCUAUUUCACAAAAGGAUUCUUAUUGCUCCCAGGCUUAAAGUAAUAAGUGUGUUUUGAGCAUUACUCUAAAUUAUUUCUAAAAGUUACAGGGAUCUCUUCUGCAGUCUAAUUGUUCAGAACACUUCCAGGGAUAUAAGGACGAAUGCCUGAUAGGUUUUCCCUAAUUCCUUCUUCGAAUAUAGCAUUGAUGCUCAAAUUUCAUAAUAUUUCUUCCACAAUUUCUUUUCUUGACAUCUUUCGUUCAGGAUAAAUGGUUUUUCCUGACACGAACGUUUUAGAUAUAUGGGAAAUGGUCAUCGGCUCCCACUUGACCUCUCCUACAUUCAGUCGCGCUCUUUUCCUAUCUUGUUUCUUCUCUAACUUUCUCUUCUUUUGCCUCACAUCUGGCUUGUAUCCUAAGCAAAAGCGGUCUUGUUUGUCCAUCAGUAUUGGUGCCUCGACUCUUUCUUGUAGGUAUUUUUUGAGUCAUCUUCCAAGAAAGACUCCUUUCCCAACCGUCAAUUGCAGGCCUAUCCUUCGACAAUAAAAGUUGCAUUAACUAAUUCCAAUGACGAAAAGGAACAUUUUAUUAUCUCUUCAUCCGCUCCUAUGUAUGGUGCGUCACUAGUUACAGAUGCAAUGAUAUCUUCCUUAGUGUUUAUUGUCACCAGUAGACCUUUCGUUACCAACUUCAAUUUUUGGUGUAUUGACAAUUGCACUGCCUCAGCAGAGUGGAUCCAAGGUCUACCCAACAAGUAAUUAUAAGAAGGCUUGAUAUACAUCACCAAAAAGCCUACCUCAUUUGUGUUCGGACCAAUUAGGAGAGGUAUUUCAGUCCUUCCUAUCACCCUCCUUUCUGUACCAUCGAGUUCUCUCACUAUAAAUUGUCACGUCUUCAUGUGAGAGCUAUCUACUGGCAAUCUAUUUAGUGUGGAUAGAGGCAAGACGUUCAAUGUAGAUUCAUUGUCGAUUAACACCCCUGGCAAUGUAUAUCAUUUGAAGUGGGUAGUGAUAUGUAGGGCCUUUGUGAAUCCUAUGCCCCCUGAAGGUAUUUCAUCGUCAUUAAAAAAGAUGAAAUUGUCGGCACUAAGAUUGUUAACCAGACGGUCUAGCUUGUUUACAGAUAUAUCAUUAGCGACAUAAGUUUCAUUUAACACAUUCAUCAAUGCGCUACAAUGUGUCUCUAAGCUCAAGAGCAAAGCUAGUACUGAUAUGCAAGCUGGUUGUUUGUGUAGCUGUUCUACAACACUGUACUCGCUAUGCUUUAAGAAUUUCAAGAAUUCCUUAGCUUCGUUCUUAGUUUUUGGCUCAUUAACAAGUGAUUCAAGCCUAGCCGACUUUUCUUUCUUAUGCUCAACUGCCAGGGUUUUUCCUUUAACGAGCUCAGUUCUUGUACUUGUAGGGUCAUAACGCCUCCCACUGCGCGUGAAGAAACUAAUAUUCUGACCCUCCUCUAAUGUGCUAACAGAGUUCUCCUCUCUCGGGAUCAUCACGUUGCAGUCAUAAUUCCAUAGAACCCUUUCACUGUCUUUGUAGGGAAAAGCCACGGGUUUUUGAAUUAUGACUCUUGGCACAGCUUGUGUUCCUGCUUCAUUAUUUCUCAGCCAUGAAAUAAUCACCACCAGGUGGUUGACCUUGUAGACCUUCUCUGUUGAUCCUUCCUCUGAGGCACAGAUGUCUCCUCAUUGUUAUCCAUCAGACUUUGGACCAAAGCUCUGAAUUCAGUGCACUCUUGGAUCUUAUGACCUUCUUCAGCGUGGAACUCACAAUUGCUCCUCAUCCCUUUAGGUACCUUCUCCGAAUCUUGAACGAUUAAUCCUACAUCUAUCAUCUUUUGCCAAACCUAUUUGAGUGGGGUUUUUACUUUCGCCACAUCAGUUUUGGUCCUCUUUCCUCCAGUCUCAAUUAUCACGUUUACCCCUUGAUCUAAAUGACUUGGUAAUAGAUUUCCUGUCAUAUUAGGUCCCGAUAGAUCAUAAAACCUUACAAUCCCUAUUUUGAUGAACCUUUCAAUCAACUUUUUAAAUGCAGUGCAGUUCUCAAUUGAGUGUCUCGUUAUUCCUGCAUGGUACUCGCAUUGAGCAUUCGUAUCAUACAAUUUUGGGAAUAGAGGUUGAUGGGUUUUAAGUAAAAUGGGGAAACCAUAUGCGCAUCAAACAAAUUCUGAUAUAACUCCCUAUAUGUCAUAGGGAUGGAUGUGAACUGGAGUUUUCUUGUGUUUGGUUUUGAGUUAGAUUCUUACCUCGAAAGGCCUUGAUGGGUUGUUGUUAUUGCUCUUGGUUAGCCUAUAGUGAUUGGUUUUGAAUAACCUUUAUUAUACAUACUUGCGGAGUUUACUUCAUUUUCUUUCUUUCUCGGGGUUGACCUUUUAGUGCUUUUCCCUGCGUCUAUUUUCCCACUCCUUACUGUAUUUUCAAUCAUCUCUUCGGACAUUACUAUAUCUGAGAAGCUCUUGCUAGCACUUCCCAACAUAUGGUUAAUGAACAGAGGUUUUAGAGUGUUUAUGAAAAGUAUUGUCGUCUCUUUCUCCAGAAGAGGUGGUUGGACUUACGUUGCCACCUCUCUCCAUCUCUGAGCAUAUUGUCUAAAGCUUUCACUUUGCUACUUCUCCAUAUUUUACAACGUAAUUCUAUCGGGUGUCAUGUUGGUCACAUGGCUGUAUUGUUUUAUGAAAGCCAGUGUCAGGUCUUUCUAUGAGUUGAUUUUGGCACGGCUUAGCUGGUUGUACCACUUGGCUGCUGACUUGAUCAAAUUAUCCUAGAAACAGUGAAUUAACAAUUGAUCAUUAUUGAGGUAUCCCGUCAUUCUUCGGCAGAACAUUGUGAUAUGGGCUUUAGGACAACUAGUCUCAUUGUAUUUUUUGAAUUCUGGAGUUUUAAAUUUUGGUGGGAGCACUAGAUCUGGGACUAAGCUCAACUCCUUAGCAUCAACCCCGCAAAGGUAAUCAACAUUCUCCAUAGCUCUAAAUUUCUCUUCCAACCACUUGUACUGAUCUUCUAGUUGUUUAGACAGUUCUACCCUUGCUCUAUCCAUUUCCUCCAUGUCAUCUAAAUCUAAAACAACUUGGUUAGUCGGGUUAUCCCAAGGAUUGGAACUUGAACCUAUUGGGUAGUUCACCGGUGCUGAGGUGCCGGCUUGAUAUUGUUGAGGUUUAUGGUAACGGGUACCCUUCGUGGAUAUGUAUCUGGUUGUACUUGGACAUUCACCAGGGUAAAGCUUAAGGGAUAUGUAGGGUCUUCAUUAUCAUCCCCAAAGUUAACUACAGUAUUUUUCCCUUUUUCAAUCCCUCCUGCCAACAACUAAGUCAACUACCUUAUCAUGCUCCGUUGGGACUCUUGUAUUUGAUCCCUCAUAUCUUUCUGUACUUUAGCUAAUUGUUCAUGUAGCUACCCUUGCAACUGAUUUUGCAUAUCUUUCUAAAUUUGUUCCAAUCUCUCUAAUCUUUUAUCCAUGACUUUGGUUUUUCCGCGGGUACUGUAACAAUAUUCAGUUGGUAGAUUCUUGUUGGUUUCCAGGGUAACUAUCAUAAUUUCGAUUAAUUAGGGUCUUUUAUGGAAUUUAAUGCAUAUGAUGAAAUGUAAUGUUGAUGAAUGAAGUGAAUGCAAAAAGAGGCAUUGAUUCUGAUUCAAUUCUAUUAGAACAACUUUAUUAGAAAACAAAUUUCUUUAUAUAAAACGAAUAUAUUUUACAUAUACGGUCUUGCCCUGAUACUCAAAGCCUUGACUUUUCUAAGAAGCCAAGCUAAUUCUCAGCCCCGAUCUGAUUCAGAUUCAUACUUUAAGCUUAGCAUGUCGGUUAGAACUGCUAGGGUUUGCAAAUGGUCGGCUACUUCCUGUACUUGAGUCACAACUUUACCCUUGAUGUGAUCUCCAUCCCUAAUCUGACCUUGAAAGUGUUGGAGUUACUCUUUCCAAUGUUCAUUGUUCAUUUCAAGAAGCUCAACUCGAAGUUCAUAAUUUUACAAUACGGUCUCGAGCUCUUCUAUCUUUCCCUUUAACUCUUCAAUCUUAUUUAGGCUUGCUUUCUAUUCAAUUGUGGAGUUGCGACUAUGAUAUUGAUGUAGUGACCUUUCUAAUCCUGCUACCCAGGUUCUUAAUCCAACAUUUUCAUUUUGGCUUUCUAACAAAUCCAUUUCUAGGGCAUCUUCUGGAACUCAAGCAUCUUGGAAUUUCAUUUCCCACUAAUCGGCUCUAAUAUUUUCUUCUUUGAUUUCUUGCCGCCAUUGUUCUGAUGUUUUACCCAACUCGGCAGUCAUUAUCGAUAAACGCAGUUUCUUAUAAUCUAUUUUUAGACUGUCCAAGUCUUCCUCAUCCUUGUUCUUUCCUCCACUGUUCUAUCUUUUUCCCCAACUUCGAACUCUUUUUUUCAAAGUCUUGCUUUAUGAUUUCCAUCUCAGAUGGGAUAACUUGUAAGUGCUCUUCUAUCGGCCGAGUGUUUUCUUGACUUGACUCAGGGACAUUGUCAUUAAAUCUUUUACCUCGCCACCAAUCAUAUUGGGGGGUUGUCAUGGGAUUUGCAGCAAAUCUUUUCAUUCUGUGAGUUUGGUUACAAGCGUUCGAUAUUUCACGAACCUUCUUCUUGUGAUUAUCACCCUUGUACGCAAACUCACACUGAGCCAACCCUUGCGUUUCCGGUAUAAACUGUCUCGACCUAAACUGCCUUAAUACAAGUAGAGGGGCAUAUCCAAUAGCUCCCCAUAUCCCAAGUAGAGGAACAUAGUCGAAGUCUUCACAUCGAUAUAAAAUCUCAUCAGGGAUUAUCCAAGGGGCUCUCCAUUCGGCGUCUUCGUCUUGGAGACUGGAGAAUCGCCAUCCACUUUUCCCUAGAAAUGUUGUCUCGCCUUGGCGCAGCUAUGAAUUCUUUUAACAGAGAGUAGUUCUCAGAGAAUACUCGAUAAAAUAUUCUUUUUACCUUUCAAAAGUGGCUGUGAAACUAGGCUAGCAACAAUUGUGCACACCUGAUAAAUCUUCCUUCACCCGCUCUUUGGCAUGCACUGAAAGAUCUAAAAGUUUCGACCGGUCAAAUAGAUCUGAAACUGCCUCAUUUAUGUGCCCUAGUGCUGUGGGGAAGAUGACCAACCCAUAAAAACUCAAGGAAAAGAGGUCGACUCUUUUCUUCAUAUCUGGAUGUGCUAAGAUCAAAUCCCGUAACUUUUCCAAGGGAUGUAUUUGCUAUCGCCCUUUUGUUUAAUCCGGGAUAUGACCCUUUGCUCGCUCAUUCCAGUUAUAUUCAUUAGCUUUUUUAAGAAAGUCGGGAUGCUGGCAGCUCUAGAAUAAGCUUUUUCGGCUUAGAUCCUCGGGAAAUGGAGUAGAGUUGUAUACUCUUCCAUGGUGGGCACCAAAUCUACCUUCCCAAAAGUAAAGCAGUUAUAGGCGGGAUUCCAAUAUUGGGCUAAAGCUCGGAACAAGUGCUUAUCCACUUUGACAUCGAGUAAAUAAGGUAAAUCAUCAUACUUACAGUAGAAUAACUGCUUGGUUUCAUCAUCCCAUUGGUCCCAUACCUCUUUCAACUCUUGCAGAUCAUUCUGAGCCACACUGAUGCGAGUGAAAUCCUAUAAUUCUAACAUAUAUCCCUCCAUCUGGCUGUUUUCCUUCUCUUGUUGUGUAUUGUCAGACCAUAUCCGGACAGUCGCAUUGUCUUCUAUUUUAUCAAUAAAUCUAUUUUUCAUGACAAGCUCUCUAUUUAGCAACUGAACGUGAAUCAACACCCUUUCUAUGAUGAAAAUGCAAUGCAGUCAUAGCCAAAACAAAACGAAACAAGUCAGUACAUUUCAUACAAAGCUAGAAUUCAAAGUAAGAAAUAAUAAGUAGAACACCUAUUCGGGUGACCACUAGAGGUUCGGUAUGGUUCUACCUAGGGUAGGUUCUUAGGGCUCAUUAUAUGCGAUUCAGUUCUAAAGUAAGGGUACUUAAACCAACAGAUUCCUCGAUCCUCACCCAUCAUAGGCUUAUACGAACCGAGUUUGGUUCAGAGGAAUACAUUUCCCUAUGGCUAUACAGAGAUAAAGAUCUAACGAAGACAUAGGUACAGAUGUAUCCCGAAAGCGAUCCACUAUCCUAUACGGAGGUGAAGACCUCACGAAGGAAUAACUUCUCACUCUAACUUAAGAAGGGAGAAAUCGAACAAUUAUGCAAUGCAACAUGCGAAAAUAUACCAAGAGACUUGAACCAAUAAAACAAACAUAUCAUUAUGUAACAAAAAGAUGAAUACCAACAAAAAGAAUGAUGAAAUGCAAUGAAGGGACCGUAAAUUUAAACAAAAUUAUCAAUUUUUGACAAAAAAAACCAAACGUAAUCAACUUGCGGCUUGACACUCUUAUUUUAUCCCUAGUGGAGUCGCCAAGCUGUCGAAACCUUUUUGAAAUCAACUUUUUAUUUUAAAAAAUGAAAAUGGAGUCGCCGCCAAUCAUUUUUAUGAGGUGUGAUUGGAUCACCUCGUAAUUUUAAUAAAAGGUUUGAUUUAUUAAAACGACUUUCAGUCUACAAAAAUCCAAGAAAUGAGUUCGUGAGUCGGUUACGCACGAGGAAGGAUUAACACCCUCAUGAUGCCUAAAAUUGGUGCCUAAUUGAUUACUCGAUGUCCUAUCGUCGAAAUUUGAAAAUGUGAAGAGAAUUUAAAACACGAUCCCAUCUUGCAUAAUGAUAUUUUAACUUAAAAUCGCUUAAGUAAAUUAAAACAUAUGUAAAAGGCCUUCUUAUCUCGAGGUAAACAAAAAGGUCAUGUCCCGUAAGAUAGGACACGACAUCUCGAAUCUUCAAAAAUAAGUUUGCUCAUUAUUAGAUUAUUAAUUACAUCUCAUGUGUUUUAAUUUUAAAAGGGAUGUUCGGUUAUCUAGGUUCAAGGAGAAAAUCGAACCCCGUAAGUUAGGGCACGACUUCUUGAAUCUCCAAAUACGGGACAUUGCCUUAAUUUUAAAAUUUCCUUCAUUAAGUAAUAAAAAAAUGUAACAUUUAAAACAAUGUGUAUUUAUCUUAUUUGGGUAUAGUAUAAAAACGGCCAAUUAUGUUUAAACAUAAUGUAUGAUAUUGUAAUGGUGAAAUAAUAUAAAAUGGCUAUAUGGUUAGAAUAUUAUAAUGAUAUAUAAUAAAUAAAUAAAGGAAUACUAUAAUAAUACUAAUGCAAUUAUAAUAAUAAUAUUAAUAAUCAGAUCAUAAUAAUAAAAUAAAUAAGGUAACUUAAAAUAAAAAUAGAAAAUGCAUGAUUAAAAAGAUAAAUAAAAAUGAUAUGAAAAUAUCAAAAAUAAUAAAAGAAAUAAAAUAACGAGAACAAAAAAAUAAAAAUAAAAUAAUAAUGACAAUAAUGAAAAAAAUGCACAAAUAAAAGAGUAUAAAUAAUUUAAUUUUUAAGUGUAAUAAAAAGUAAAGAAGUAAUAAAUAAAUAAAUAAACAAACAGUUUGUAGAAAGGUUGAAAUUAAAUAAAUAGAGGAUUUAAUUGAAAUUUAAAUGAAAUUAGGGGAUAUAAAUUGUAAAUAAUAAAAAAUAGACUAAUAAGGAUUAAAAUGUAACGCGCUAAAAAGGACAGGGACCGAACAGGAAAAUAUCCCCUGUCCUUAUGCGCACCGUUUCUCAGAAGGACCAAAAUAAAAGAACUUAAAAUUAAACGGUAUAAAUUAAAAAAAGGAAAUAGGACUACAUUGAAAAAUAUUUAAAGAGCGAAAGGGCUAAGGUGACAAUUAGACCAUUUCCACGAAAACACGCGGAUUCUAGGAUGGGUCGGGUCAGUCUUCGGGUCGGCUUUAAAACGACGUCGUUUUGGGGCAUUUAGGGUUUGGAUGAAACGACACCAUUUUACUAAGCCUAUUUAAGUUAAAAAAAUUUCAACCCUCAGUAAAAAAAAUAGUGAAACCCCUUUUUCCUCUGAAGUCGUUUCUAAGUCCGGCCACUAGUUCGGCGAGCCUCCACGACGGCCACCGGUCACCGGCGACGAGCUCUGCCAUUCCCAGUUGCCAAAAAUUGCAAAACAAAAAACUCUCUUUUGGCCUGUCGGUUCCCUGAACCGAAAUCUAGGGUUGAUUUCCCCAGAAACUCAACAAAAGUCACAAAAAAGAACCCUUCGAUUUUAAGGUUUUAAAAGAACUUCUCGUCAUAAAAGGGGUCACCUUUCAUCGAAGGUGACCACCUCGGCCACUCAUGGUGGUAGAACACAAAGUGCAGGUAAGUUUUUUCUUUUUUUUUUCUUUUAUGUUUUUUAUAUAAAAAAAGAUUCAAAAAAAUAAAUAAUAAAAAAAUCACCUUCGAAAUUUUAUAUUCUGUUUGUUUUUUUUAUCUCGACGUUUAUAGCCGAAUACAAACUGUUGUUUUUACUAUUCGCCACUGUUCUUGUGCGUUCGUAUAUGUCCUUUUUCUUUCUCUUUUCUUGUAGGUGGCAAAGUCAACAGAGAGGAGAGGCAGACCCUUUUCCAUUUUGGUAAAUGGCAGCAGAAAGGGGAGAUCUUGGGACGAGGAUCCUCCGGCGGCAUGCCUGUGAAGGGAGGAGUGAUGUAGAGGGCAUUAGGGUUUCUGUUUAGUUUUUAGUGUCGUGGGCUUUAAGGUUUCUUCAUUUGGGCCAUAUUGGGCACAUUUGUUGUAAAUGGACUAUCCUUUAUUGGGCUUUGUUAUUUAUUUUUUUGGUUUUGUUUAUUUGAUUUUUGUUUAGGCCUUUUAUUUGUUUGUAAUUCGGGCCCGUACAAAAUUCGGCUAUCACAAGGGUCUAUUCCUCCUCUAAUUCAAGCACAUCAAACAUGGAAUAAUAGUUUAGAAAUAUCAAACCAAGAAUUAAGGACACAUAAUUGAUAACAAGAUCUAAGUAUUUAUUACUUAAAAAUAGAAAUCAAAUAACAAAAUCCAUCCUAGGGUUAAUCUCCCUAGGUAUUUAGAAAAUUAGUUCAUAAUAGUAAUUGAAAACAUCUUGAUGGAAAUAUGCUUCAGAGUCGGCUCCAAUGGUAUUUUUUCGAGUUGUUUUCUUGAAUAUUCUUUGACGACCCUCUUCUAUCUUUUUUAUUUCUAUCAUAUAUAUGUCCUAGAAUGCCUAAAAAAACCUAAAAACACGCUUUUCCACAUAUUUGGAGUGUAAUUUGUGAAAUUAACAUGGUCUGGCACAUGCCCGUGUGGCAGCCCAUAUGGUUCACCCGGCCGUGUGUUUAGGCCAUGUGGCUUUUGAAACUUACUCCGAUUUUUUAAUUUUCGAUCAUUUUGCUCCCAAAUGCUCUCUUAAAUAUAUAAAUAUGAAUUUAAAGGAUUAGGAGCAUAAAAUUCACUGUUGUACAUCAAAUAAUUAUCCAAAACGCAUUAAGUAAUGGAUUAAAAUAUGUUACUUUUAUCACUUAUCAAAUAUCCCCACAUUUAAGCGUUUACUUGUCCUCAAGCAAAAUCCUCAGCCCACAUUCAACUAAUUUUUCUCAAUUUGUCAUUUUCAUCAAUAAUGUUUCAAGAUAAUUGGCAAACAAUCAAGCAUUGGAAAUUCAACCAAAAGGACACUAAAGAUUCAAGUAGUCCAAGUCGAAAUUUUUAAAGCACAAAAAACAUAGGUGUCUCCUCUUAUCUAAAUAAUUACCUUAAAUUCAAAAUCAACAAGAAUUGACAUCCUCACUCAAGAUCACUCAAAGUGUUUAAGGUUCAAAUAUAAUGCACUCAACAGUCAAACGAGAAAUAUUAUUACCAUAGGCUUGCUUGAAAAUCAAAUCUCCACCACUAUACAAAAUGAGAUGACACACCAAUCAAAAGGUAUCUCCAAGGUUGUAGUGGGACUUAGGUUAAGGGUAUGGAAAAGGUCAGAAAAGUUGGUUAUAAUUGAGAAUCGAGUUGAUAAGUUACCAAACUAGAAAAAAUCAAAUGCUGAAUUAAAAGAAACUACAUCAACAAGAAUAUUCACAAAUGGAAACGAGCUUUUCAGUAGAAUAUGACGCUAAUUAUUCAAGCACAAUCAUAAAUUUUUUUUGUUUUUUUUGUUUUGUUUUUUUUCGAUUAUUUUCCUUUUUAUUUUUUUAGAAAAAAACAAAACAAAAUAAAAUUCAACAAUUCCAAAAAAAGAAACAUAGUUAGGCAACUAAUCAAAUCAAAUCUCGACAAAAACGUAGUCAAUAAAAAGGAUACAUUUACAACAUAGAUUUGGGUUGAGGGUUAACAUAAAUGGGUUAAUAAAAAAAAUGUUAGGAUCCAUGGGGUUUACUAGGGGUUAACACAACAAUUAAUGUGGUUAAAGUUUAAAUGGGUUAAAUCAUAAAUGCCUCUAUCAUCUUAGUAUAUCAAAUUAAUAAUAUGGUCUCGACAUGUAUAAUCAAAGCAAGUUCUAGAGUAACAAAUUAAGUCGACAUACUCACAACCAAAAAUAAAAUGAGCAUGAAAUAAAAUAUAUGCUCUAUAGGCUCAAAAGCUCACAAAAAAUAAUUGUUUUGAUGUCAAACUUGCAAUUUUAAAAUUUCAAGAUAAUUCAUUAGUUUAGGGAGACAACUUAAAAUAAUAAUUUUUGAAAACAACUUAUCAUACGUGACUCUCUCGUGGCUUAAAGUAUAAAUUAACAAAUACAUAAAAAUCCACAAAUUAAUCCCAAACAACAUCAAUAAAAAUGCCAAAUGGAAAAAAUUCUCUCUAAUGGAGGGUAUGAGAAAUUUACUUACACACAAUUAAUAAUUUAGGGAUUUUAUCACAAAAAUAUAAACAACCUCCCCACACUUAAGAUGUACAUUGUCCUCAAUGUACAAACAUAUAUAAACACAGAAUAAGCACAAUAUCAAAAGAGAUGGAGAGAACUGAAACUGCUCUGAAUUUGGAUGAAAUUGUCAGAAUAGUGAAAAUCAAAAUCGUGGGUAAAUCUAAAUGAAGUACAUGUUUCUGAGCAAACUAAUAAGAAAACAGAUAAAAAUAAAUAAGAUAAAGAGAUAACAAACUAGAAAAAACAACCAACAAAAUAAUAAAAAUAAUAGUGCAUAAUAAAUGAAAAACAAAACAUAAAAGUCUCAAAUAUAAAAUAAAACAACUAACAAAACAAAAAUAAAAAAAUAAAAAAGAAAUAAAAGUACAACUAGAAAUAAAAUAAAUAAAGUAGAGAAUUAAAUUAGGUCAUGGAUACGCAUCGUGUGAGAUGUUGAUAUCGUGAGGCGCAUGACCGAGUGGAGAGAUAUGGAAAUGCUGGCAGAUCUGCUGCAAAUAUGCCUCAAUGGUAUCGAGUUGUACUAAAUGUUACUGCUAAGUAUGAUAAAUAUCGUCGAGUAUGAUAGAAAGCGUGGAUGCAGCGGUUAAUUGGACACAGCUGCAAAUACGCCUCUCUGUAAUCGCUCACUCUGACUAUGAAAACACUGGGUUACAAAAUGGGCUAGAUUAAUUGGAUGUUGUCCAUGCGUGCUCUAUUAGAAAAAUGCAUCUAAAGUGCCCAUGAAGCUUGUACUUUCUUUUUAGCCAGUCAAAGUAUGAGCUAGGAUAGCGUGAAUGUAUCGCAAGGCUGAAAGAAAGCAGCGAGCCAUAAACUGGCUCGGGUUAUAUGGAACGGUAACCUCAGAAAUCUUUGACCAGCAGAGAGAGGCCCGCAUAAUGGAUGCGUCGUAAGAGGGAGAAAAGUUCGGUCAUUGCUAAGAAGUCAUCAAAGUAUAGGUCGAUAGCGACACCAAAACCUGUAAUACUAAAGUGCCAAGUGAUACCCCCAAGAUGGAAUGAUAUAACUCGUGGAUCAUCCCCCAACGGUAGCACUAUUUGUAGAAAAAAAGGUAGAGCAAAACUCCAAAGUGAGCUGAAUAUAGGUCGGCUCUGCAAUCGCGAAAAAUUGUUCCCAUGGAGUCGCAACCAAGAGUGAAUAAAUCAGUGCGAAUAAACCCAUAGUCUAAACGACUUCCCAAUCGAUGCACUGAUCCACACCCAAUUCUCUGUCCUUCAAAUAUUGAUACCUCUCCUUAUGGGGUGGGUGGUCGAAGGUGAGGUAUCGGUGGUGAAUGGUCGCAAUUGGAGAGGAUGAAAAGGAGGUCCUAGUGGCUUUUCUUUUCUUGGAAUGAAUGAUGACCUUGCUCUUUCCUCGUGUGUUCUGCAUCAUGUACCUAAAAAACAAAAAAUGAAAAAAUCAUCAGAGGCUUAGAAAAAUUAGCACCACACAAUAACGAGUCUAGCAAAUAAAGUCAACAUAUGAAUUGAAACACAUCGACAAACGAACAAUCUCAUGCGAACAAAAUUUACUCCUAAUAUGAAACUAUAGCCAAUACAAAUACUAAUGAGUCAGAAAUACAUCAACUAAGCUGACCAACUAAUACUAAAUAUAUAUAUAUAUAUACUAAUAAUGAAGAGAAAAAUAAAACUAAUAUUAAAACUAAACCACAAAACCAAUACUACUAACACUAAUAAGAAUAAUAAUAAUAACUAAAGUAAAAUUAUCUAAAGAAAAAAAAACUAAACUAAUCACAUGCACAAAUGAGUAACAGUACUACCAAACAAAAUUAUAAUAACAAUAAAAGUAAUAAUAAUAACUACUAAAAAUAAUAAAAAUAAAAAAAUAAAAAAUGAGGGGCCAAACAGUGGUAGGGUACUGCAGCGACGGUUAACGGAAGCAUGAUGUAAGCGAUAGGAAUGAACAACGAUGUGGGAAGGGCUAUGGCGAGAAUGGUUGUUUGAUGGGAAAAGUGGACAAAAGAGGAGUACAAAAUGGGGAAACGGGGAAAGGGGACUACUCGUUCACAGGUGAUAUGAGGACGAGAUCGAGGUAGGCGCGAAAGGCUCUGAUGGUGACUCGGGAAGGAAAGGGAUUGUUGGGACGAUUAUGGCUUCGGCAAAGUAAAGGGGAAUGUGAGGGACGACACGACUAGGGGUAGAGGUGCAUGGUGGCGAUGACAGGAGAUAGAAAGGUGGUCGACGACGAAGAUGGACGAACGAGGAAAGGGUUAAUUUGCGACGAAGGGUUGGAGUAAAAAAGGGAUAAACAACAUCCAAGGGAAAGGUAAUAUGGAAAAAAUUUAAGGUUUGUGUUUAAACAAGACACGAUCGUGUAAAUGGUCUGUGUUAGACCACACGACCGUGUCUAUGGACCGUGUAAGAGAUGUUAGCCCGUGUCCAUUCAAAAUUUGAAAAAAAAAUUCUACCCAGUAACCAUAUGUGUCAAGGCCGAGUGUCACACGACCUUGUGUUAGUCCAUGUGCGAUCAUCCUUCACUUCUCCCACGUCUGUGUGCGAGACCGUGUGAAUCACAUGGUCACACACAUGCUCAUGUGACAGGCUGUGUGUCUCACACUACUGUGUCUCGAGUCCAUGUAACUCACUGUGUUAAAAUAAAAUUGAAAAAAACUAACUCUAAUAUGCACAUGUCUCCAGUCCAGGUCAUGUGGCCCUCACGACUAUGUCUCCAGGCCGUGUGACCCUUUUUUUUUUUCAAUUUGUUUUAGUAAUAAAUAUAAAAAUGAAUGUCCUUUUUUGAAGUUUUUUUAGAAAAUAAAAUAAAUAAAUAACACAAAAACACUCGGGUUGCCUCCCGAGAAGCGCUUAUUUAGAGUAUAAGUUUGAUUUCCCUUUUUAAGCUCACGAUUAAAGCAGAUCUUGGAGUCGAAGCUCCUAUAACAUCCCAAAAAUCGAGCUAGAAAAAAUUGAGUUUGAGACCAAUAGUGGAAAUCUCUCGAUUUUGAGUUUAGAUUUUGGAAAAUUUUGAUAAGUAAAUUGUUUUGGUUUAGUUGUUAAAUGUUCUAGUUAUGUAUGUGAGGAACUAGUUUUGAAUCCUCUCUCUUGAAAUUUUGCUACUUUUGACUAAAUCCCUAUCUUUGGACAUGUGGGUUAUAAGUUAGAUUUAAUCAAUUGACGACAAGAAUAAACCUGCUGGUUUAAUGGUUAAGCUUUUGUGUACCUUUUGGUCUUGUGUUCAAAUCCUUGUGAAAGUAAUAGGGAAUGUUUUAUUUUUGAAUUUCUUUGUAAGGUAGUUAGUUUCGGUUGGUUAAAUUAAACUUCCUAGAAACCUUCUAGGUUGGUGGCAUUGUUGUGUUUUUCUUUUUAUUUUCCAUUUUCUGUUUCUACCAUUCCUCUGUUAUUUCUUUAUUUUUCUUCGUUUUGAUUCUUCUCUUCAAACUACCUUCCUUUUUGUUCUAUUAUGCCAAAUUGAUUCUAUAAGGGGUCAGACUAGUCCUUUUUGGUUCAAUUCAUUAUUGGUAAGUUUGAUUUAAAUUUAGUGUCGAAAGUUCUUCAACGUAACUUCAGUCUCGAACAUUAAUCUUAGUAUUUUGAGUUUGAAUAUGUUAUCUGAUUUGUUGUUGUAAUGUCGUUUUAGGGACGAGAAUUCACCAUUGUUACUUCUGCAUCAAAUCCGUAUCAGGUGGGUAUUGAUAACCCAACUUUCAUUUCGAGUUUAGUCAUUGGAAAACUGAUUGUCGACGCCACACAGCUGUAUACCAAGCCAUGUGGUAGGUCGUGUAAGCCACACGGCUAUGUAACUCAUAGUUCAUGAAAAUUAGAGGCACACGCUAGUCGUGUGUGGUUAUGUAUUAUGCAAAAUUCACAGGGUCAAUAACACGAGCGUGUAUCCAGGCCGUGUAACUCACUGGUUGCGGAUUAAGACCACACAGGCAGGUGACACGGGUGUGUGUUAGGGCCAGUUAUCCAAGCCGUGUGAAACCACACGGGCGUGUGGACCAAUAUUUAAAAUUUUUUCCUCGAGCCACAAGCGUCAUUCGAAACAAACGUAAGCCUAUUUUAAGGUCCGUAUGAUCUAAAUUAGGCUAUAUAACUUUAUAUCUGAUGAUGAACAACUUGUGACCUAUACAUAUGUCUGCUAUGCUUGAACCUAAGUAAAUAGGAUCUGCCAGAACAUAAUGUGCUAUUGUCUAAUGUAUGCAAAUUAUCUAAGUGCGAUUUGUAUUUUGUUAAGUUUGUUGGUACACCUUUAUGUGACUCUAUUGCUUAAAAACAUGUGAUAUCUGAAUCUAUUGAAUUGAUUGGUACUGAUUCUGAUUUAUAACCAUGCAUGUGACUUCAUGGCAAAUCUGAUAUUAUUUUUUAAGUUUUGGUAAAUAUGUUUUAUAACACAUGGACUCCCAUGCCUACUAACUCUGUUACUAUAUGAUAACAUGAUUUACAUGCUUGUCACUCUGCUUUUGUAUAUGCAUGCUAUGGCACAUUGCAUGAGACUUGGGAUGAUGUGAAAGAAGGAAGUUUCUAGUAGUUGGUAAUCUGCAUUCUCUGGUGGUUUAUCCACGCUUCUAUUCUGGCAACUUGGCUGCAAUAUGGUGGCUUGACCACAUGUAUUUGAUCUGGUAGUUUUAACUGCAAAAUUCUGGUGGCACGGUCCACAGUCAUCUGUUGGUAUGAUUUGGUUGGACAAGUUCUGAGGGAGCUCUAUUUUGGUUGUAGCGGAGUUGGGUAGGAUGUUUUCUAAUAAAUUUGCAUUCUGAUCUGUUUGAAAAAUACCGCAUCUGCAUAACACACAUCCUCUACGUAGCUCUGUUUAGUUCUACUCUACUCUACUCUAUUCUGUUAUGUUCUGCUCUGUCCUGUCCUGGUUGGGUUAUGUUAUGUUGUUCUAUUAUAUUACACUUGCUAUUAAGUUCGAUGUGUUUACUCUGAUUUAUAUACUAUGUUUUGUUAACUAUAAUUGAUGUUGGUUAUACACUGGGCUUUAUAGCUCAAUUUUUGGUUUUAUCUUUGUGUGUUGAGGUAAGUCUCAGACUUAAAACCGAGCGGCGUGUGGGAGCUCGGUUUGUUUCGCAAUAAUGUAGAAAUGUCUAAUCUUGUGGGUUAUAAUAUGUUUUUGAGCUCGUUUUGGUUUUUACUAAAUUUAUCAGUAGUUUUUAACGUGAAACUACAAAAUCAUUCAAGUUGACAAAAUGGAUUUCAAUUUUCAAAAUAAGACUCUGAAAAUAUGUUCCGCUAAUAGUCAAGUAACCUUUGAACAUUUCUGGAUACUUUUUGAAAUCAGUUUUUGAUGUGUUGAUGUAACUCCUCCAGAUUUUGUCUUAACUUCUAGGCGGGGUUUGGGGUGUUACAGCUCUUCUCUUUCGUUAUUAGUUUUACCACCAAAAUAAGGUUUGAGACGGGUAUUGUUUACCUUGAAGGUGCUGAAUUUUUAAUAUGUUACCUCAAUUGUACCGUAUGGAAAAACGAUUUUUACCACAUAUGGGUUAGACCCUCUUGACAUAAAUUCUGGAGGAAAAAUUUGUGAAUCUAAUUUAUCUAACAAUACUGUCCCCAACUUUGAAUUGGUUCAUUCUCUUCACAUGCACAUCAUGGCGUCGCUUUGUUUCUUCAAAGUGUUUUCUUGAUUUCUCAUCAACUUUCAUUUGCCAUUUAUCUAUUUCGUCGAGCUGCACCAUUCGCUUUUCACUUGUCCCUUGAGUUCUAUCACUUUGAAUAAAAUAUGGCUCCAAUAUGUUUUCAUGAGGGAUUUCCUGCAAAGAACGUUGAGCCACAUGGUUACUAACAUUAACAAAAUAAUCAGUGUCAUCUCACUCACUAGGAACUUUCACAAAAUAAUGUGCUUGAAGAGUAAUCUUUUCAUCACUUACACAAAGCACAAAUUCACCAGUACCCACAUCAAUAACAAUUUUAGUAGUGGCUAAAAAUGGUCGACCUAAAAUCAUAGGUACCUCAAUAUCCUCAUCCAUGUCUAAUACAACAAAAUUAACAGGAAAUGUAAAUUUAUCAACUUUCACAAGGACAUCCUCAAUAAUUCCCCUAGGAUACCUAAUUAAUCUGUCAGCUAAUUGAAUACUCAUCCUAGCAGGUUUUGGUUCUCCAAGACCAAGUUGUUUGAACAUCUUAUAAGGCAUGACAUUUAUACUGGCCCUUAAAUCAGUCAAAACUUUUUCAACAUUUGAACUACUAAUGAGAUAAUGAAUAGUAAAACUCUUUGGAUCUUUAAGUUUGUUGGGUAGUUUGUUUUGGAGAAUGGCUGAGCAAACUACAUUGAGCUCCAUAGUCGACAAGUCGUCUAACGUCCUUUUAUUUGUUAACAGCUCCUUUAAAAAUUUUACAUACUUUGGCAUCUACGAAAGGACUUCAACAAACAGUAAGUUAAUGUGCAACUUUUUUAAAAGUUCAAGAAAUUUACCAUAUUGUUCUUUUAUGUGGUCUCUCUUUCAUGUUGCUAGAUAUGGAACUCGUGAUUUGUAGUCUUUAAUUACUGGCUUAUGAUCUUUCUUACUUUCCUCAACCUCGUCACUUUUCACAACAACUUUUAGUUUCAACUUCUUUUCAAGCUUGACUAACCCUUCCACAAUUGGAACAGUAAUUGCGUGGAUUUUUCUCAUUUGGGUUAGUUUUAAUGUUACUAGGUAAGCUACCUUGCGAUCUUUCCGAAACAAGUUUGGGAAAUUGUCCAAUCUGAUUUUCAAGUCCUUGAAUCAAUGCUUGCUGAUUUUUCAAAGCUAUCUAAUUUGAUUUUCAAGUUGUCCAAUUUUAAUUUUUCAAGCCUAGAAUCGAGUUUCUGACACCGAAAUAAAUUUAGCCACCAUCUCCUUAAGGGUUUAUUUCUUCUCUUACUAGUUAGGUUGCUGAAAACCCGGAGGGGGUUGUGACCUUUGAUUUUCUUGAUCACCCCAAACGAAUUUUUGAUGAUUCCUCCAUUCUGCAUUAUAAUUAUUUCUAUAGGGGUUAUUUUGAUAUCUAAAAUUAUUACCCAUAAAGUUGACUUGUUUAUACUCCAUGUCCAACUUGAAGGAUGAAUAGUCUGAAUUAAUCAUCCCCACCCCAUUCGCAUCACAUUGCAUCACUAGAUUCACCUGCUUAGAAAAAUUUAAACCAUCAAUUUUUUUUCUAUGAGCUUCAACCUGAUUUGCCAACAUAGAAUCUGUAUCAAUAUCAAAAACUCCGACUGCCUUAACAGAUUUUACUCUCGUAACUUGCCACUAACAAUUAUUCAGUGUCAUCUCCUCAAUAAACUCUUGAACUGCCUCAGGUGUUUUGUUAUUCAAUGUUUCGUCAGCUGCUGCAUCAAUCAUCUGUCUAGUCGAGGGGUUCAAAACAUUAUAAAAACUUUGAACUUGGAGCCACAAAGGUAGUCCAUGGUGAGGACACAUUCUCAAUAAAUCCUUAAAUCUCUCUCAUGUAUCAUAAAGUGUUUUAAUAUCAAACUGAACAAAAGAAGAAAUGUCGUUCCUCAAAUUAGCUAUUUUAGCUGGAAACUCGUGAUAAUAAAUUUAACCAUUGUUUUGCCUUCCUCCUCAAAGAAAAUGGGAACAACCGUAAACAUAUGAUAUCAAUAUUAACGUCAUUAAUCUUGAAUGUGUCACAAAUCUCUAAAAAGUUAAUUAAAUGAGCACUCAGAUCUUCAUCUUGCAGCCAAUCAAACUAAACAUAUUGUUAUACCAUCUGAAUUGUGUUCGGCUUCAAUUCAAAAUUGUUUACAGCAAUAGUCAGUCUGACGAUACUCAAUUCAACCCUAAUUAGAUGGGGCUUAGCAUAAUCAUACAUAGUACGAGGAGGAGGAGUUGCAGUAAGCUACUGAUUAUUUUGAUUAUCACCCAUCUCUACAGUAAUAUCCUUUUUCUUAAUCGUCUACUAUAUUUUGUUAAUUUUGCCUUACUUUUCUAAUAUUUCUACGAUUUUUACGAGCAGCCUUUUCAACUUCACUAUAAAAAUUAAUAGUUCUGACAUGUUUCCUCUAGUCAUAAACCAAAAAACCUAUCAAAAUCAAACAAACGAAAUUAGAAUGUAAAAAUUAAAUUAAAAAAUGGCUAAAUUAAUAGAAAUAAAAUUUUCCUAAUAUUUUAGUCAUUGGCAACGGUGCCAAAAACUUAAUUAUAGUCGUAAAACAACUAAAAAUUUGACAAAGGUAAGUGCACCUAUCAAUUAACUGUAUAGCUAUGGUGAGCAAAGAUAUCCUUCCCACGAGAACUAAAAGUACUAGUAAUUAUCGCCUUCCUAUUAUUUAACCAACAAAUUGGAGUAAUUGAUUAAAACUAAAAUUAACUAAAUCAAUUAACUAAAGAACAUGACAAAAAAUAAAUCAGAAAAAUAAACGAUUAACAACCAAGAAACAAGCCUAGACUUCAUCUAUCACUAUAAAUCUAAAUUAUGCAAUUUCUUUACUUAGUAUCUUGAUCCAUAGAAAUUCUUAAAUUAUGCUAAUAUCUCUCUUUAAGAUUAAGAGCAACUAACUCUAGGUUGAUUAAUUAAAAUUUCUUUCUAAUUAAAACUUAUAUUGUCACAUUAACUCGAUCUAUGAAUCCCCCUAUUAGAUUUGACUUUAAUCCGGUAAAUUUAUGUCGCCCUAUUUCUAGGAUUGCAUGCAACUCCACUCAAUUAUGCUAGAUCUACUCUUAAACAUGGUUUAUUCCUCCUCUGAUUCAAGCACAUCAAACAUGGAUUAAUAGUCUAGAAAUAUCAAACCAAGAAUUAAACAUAGAUAAUUAAGAACAAGACCUAAAUAUUUAAUACUUAAAAAGAAAAAUCACAUAAUAGAAUCCAUCCUAGAGUUAAUCUCCCUAGGUAUUUGGAAAAUUAGUUCAUGAUAAUAAUUAAAAACAUCUCAAAGAUAGUAUAACCACAAGGAACAAAUAAACUCAUAAUAAACUUCAAAGACAUCAAAAGAUCUUUAAUCUCUAUAGAAAUCUGUUUCAGAGUCGGCUCCAAUGGUGUUUUUUCAAGUUUUUUUUCUUGAAUAUUUUCUGACGACACUCUCUAUCUUCUUAAUUUUGUCAUAUAUAGGUAUUAGAAUGCCCAAAAAAACCUAAAAAAACACGCUUUCCCGCAUAUUUGGAGUAUAAUUUGUGAAAUCGACAUGGUCUGGCACACGCUCGGGUGGCUCACACGGCCGUGUGUCCAGCUCAUGUGGCUUUUGAAACUUGUUUUGAUUUUCACUCAUUUUGCUUCGGGUUUUUUACAAAAAUAUUAUAAAAAAUAAAAAUUUACCAAAAUAUUACAACUAUUUUUUUAUUUACCAAAAUAUUACAACUUUUCUUUUAUUUACCAAAAUAUUUAAACUUUUUUAUUAUUUACCAAAAUAUAUAAAAAAACAAAAAAAAAACAAAACCUGCAAAAAAAAAUCUGACAAUGUACUGGUCACGCCAAUGGUAUUGGCGGCACCAAAGGUGCCAAAACCAUUGGCGGCACCAAUGGUGCCAAUACCAUUGGCGGCACCAAUUGGUUUUAUGGGGGGUCGGUGGUGGGGCAGAAGAGAAAAAAGGAAAGAAAGAAAGGAGAGGGAAGAAAGAAAAGGAAAGGAGAAGAGAAAAAAGGAAAGAAAGAAGAAGAAAAGGAGAAGAGAAGAAAAAAGAAAGAAAGAAGGAAAGAAAAAAAGGGAAAGGAGAAGAGAAAAAAAAAAGAAGAAGAAGAGGGAAGAAAGGAAAAAAAAGGGAAAAAAAGGUAAUUUUAUUUAUAAAUUUGAAAUUUUUUGUAAUAUUUGUGUGUUUAAAAUUUAUGUAAUGUACAUUAUAGUUAUUUUAUUAUUUUAUUUAGCAUAUAUAUUUUAUAGUUAUUUUAUUAUUUUAUUUAGCAUAUAUAUUUUAUGAAAUAUAUUUAGAAUGAAAAAAAAAAAGUUAAAGUACAUUGUAUGUUGAUUAGGGAAUUUUUUUAUGAAAUUUACUUAUGAAUUUGAAAUUAAAAUUUUAGGAAAAUAGCAUUAAAAGAAAAAUGACAAAGAAGUAUAUUUAAGAAAACAUAAAAUACGAAAAGAAAAAAUGAGAAUUGUAUAUUUAUCGAAAAUAAUAAAAUGCGAAAAAUGUACAUGUAAUAAAUGUAAAACAUAAUAAAUUGAAAAAUGUAAAAUUAUAAAAUAUAAAAUUACGAUUAUUUUAAAAUAAUAAUAUGCGGAUAAAAAAAAUACGAAUAAAUGGCCGAAGUAAGACUGUAUUAGUAAAUGUUUUUAAAAAAUUCAGAAAUAAUUUAUACAAAUAAUUGGAAAAAAUGUAGUGAAAUAAUAUAAAAUAAUAAAAUACAAAAAGAAUAUAUUUUUAUUGAAAGUAAUAAAAAUCGGAAAAAUAAUAAUACGACCAAAGGGCAGGGGAAAGGGUUUAUUUCGGGUUAUUUACCAAAAUAUUACAAAAAAUAUUACCAAAAUAUUAUAAAGUUUUAUUUUAUUUACCAAAAGAAUAGAGGAAAAAAAUGGUUAUGGAUGGGAAUAAAAAGGCGGUACCAAUAUGUGAGUAAUUAUUUUUUAAUCCUUCCUUAUUUAUUAAUAAAUUUCAAACAUUAUGCACUGAAAUAAUGUAAAAUUAUAAAAGACUAAGUUAAUGAUAUUUUUUAAAGUGAUAAAAUGCGGAGAAAAAAAUACGAACAAAUGGCAGAGUGUAUUACUAACUUUUUUAAAAUUCAGAAACAAUUAAUACAAAAUAUUUCAAAGAAAAUGUACUAAAAUAAUUUAAAACAAUAAAAUAGGAGAAUAAUAUUUUAUUCUUUAAAGUAAUAAAAAUUGAGAAAAUUAUACGAGCAAAGGGCAGGGGUAAGGGUUAAUUUUUUACUGCAAAUUAAUUUAAAUAACACACUCGAUUAAUAAAUUUCAAGCAUUAUGCACUGAAAGAAUGUAAAAAUAUAAAAUUAGGAAUUAUGAUAUUUUUAAAGGAAUAAAAUGCGCAGAAAAAAAUACGAAUAAAUGGCCGAAGUUAGAUUUUUUUACUAACUUUUUUUUCAACUUGCAGGCAUCGCAAUGGCUCGAUUGAUUGGAAACGCUGAACAUAUAUCUGAUGCGGCUAAUAACUCGGUAUGAUUUAUUAUUUGUUAAUCAGGAGUUCUAUUUAUUUAAAAAGGAUAUACACAGUAUAUAGAAAUAAAUUAUGCAAUCGUAAUAUUUUUUCUGUUAUUCAACACUAUCAGGAAUCGUACCGAGUAUUAAGGGGCCGCGUGAGUGUUUUAAAGAUAGCUCCGGAUGCACGAUUUAUGCCGUACCUAGAGUUAGCCGGAUUUGGGUCAGUAGCAUUGAUCCGGUCAUCCGACUUGCAAUUUGAUUUAUUAUUCGCGCUAGUGGAGCGGUGGCGUCCAGAGACCCAUACUUUCCAUUUUCCGUGCGGGGAGUGCACAGUGACGUUGGAGGACGUUGCAGUGCAGCUUGGGCUCCCAGUUGGUGGGAGUCCCGUUACCGGACUAUCUUCAUUAACCGAUCCGGCUGCAGUUUGCUAUCAACUCCUAGGAGAGUCACCAUGGGACGGUGAUAAAUUUUUCUCCGUCUUAAAAUUUACAUGGUUAAGAGCCAAAAUUUGUCGACUAUCAAUGACCGCCAGUGAAGGUGAGUUGAUGUGCGCUGCUCGAGCGUACAUCAUGCAUAUGAUAGGGGCACUACUCAUGCCUGAUGUAAACGGCGACAGUGUCCAUUUGUCGUACUUGCCUCUGCUUGCUGAUUUGUCCACGGCUAGGUCGUACAGUUGGGGUUCGGCCGUUCUAGCAACGUUGUACAAGGAGCUUUGUCGGGCGGUAGACCCGCAAGUUAAAGACAUUGGCGGAUGCCUGAUACUGCUGCAGUCAUGGGCCCUUUAUCGGAUGCCAUUUUUGGCACGAGUUAGUCACCAACCCUAUCUAUAUCCACUGCCACUCAGGUGAUAAAAUGAAAAUUGUCAUUAUUUGUAGUCAUAAUAUAUUGAGUAAUGUUACCAACCUUAAACCCUAUACUAUUUUUGGUAGGUGGACGACCCGUCCAGGAAUCAGAAAGUCGAGUGAUGUCCCGAUAUACCGCAUGAGGAUUGAACAGCAUGCUCGGGAAGGGGUAUGUUUCUAUUCUAAUAUUCAUGACAUACAUGGUAUUUCCAUAUGUUACUCACAUGUUUCUAUUCUAUAUGUUACUCACAUGUUUCUAUUCUAUAUGUUACUCACAUGUUAUCGGUCUAACUUGUUACAAUGUUAUUACUCAUGCAGUUUAUAUGGAUGCCGUAUCGGAGGCCGGAAAUUGCAAAUGUUGUACCCCCGUUCGCACUCGUUGAUUCCCACACAUGGUGCACAAACACACCAAUUAUAAAUUUCAACAUCAUCGAGUGGUAUCACGGUGAUCGGGUGCUUCGGCAGUUCGGCUGCAUCCAACCUAUCCCGGAUCCACCAUGCCAGUUGCGGGAAGAUCACGGCUUGACAAAGAGAGGAAGGGUUCAAUUGGACUGGGGAAUAUAUCACCGAAAAUACGUCGCACUGUGGUACGAUCGAAUGAGCCGAAUUCCUCAGAUGGUUAUGGCUACCGACCUGCAGCCAUCUCGAGAGUAUACAGAAUGGUACCAUAGUCGCGGGAAGCCGUAUUUACUUGGAGCGCAAUCGACGAUAAUCCCCCCGUACGUUCAGCAAGUUAGGGAAUCGGAAGCAGACAGCACGAUGGAUCCAGAUCCGACGGCAUUUUGUCUUGCAGAACAGGCAGAGCCCGGACAAUCAGAACCAAAUGAGGAAUCACAUGGCUAUCAUCCGGAUUUGUUGGGCGGUGAACAUUAACCGAGCUAUGCAGAGGGCAAAUAUGCGUUUGAUUUUGAACUGUUCAGCUCCCCCCGGCCGCAGUACGGUAUGCCCGGCCCAUCUAACACGUAUCCGUCGCACUAUGGGACUCAUGAUGGUUCAAUUUCAUCAGCGGCGAACGAGGGACAGGACAUUCCCUCUAUGUUUUCCACGCCCCCACCUGCGGAUGAUGAUGAUGUUGGUUGUCACCCAGGCCGUCAGCGUCGACCUCCGCGUAGGUAUACCCCCCGGACAACACCAUCGAACCAUCAAAUGUAGGGGUUUAAUGCACUCAUUCUAUAACUCGUGUUAUUUGUAUUUUAGAUAUCUCGGAUGUUCUGAAUUUUAUCUAUAGAUAUCAAUUAUUCAAUUUUUUCAUUAUAUUAAAGCUGAAUCGAAUUAUGAAUGCCUCUAUUUUUUCAUUAUAAUCUUAAUAAUUCGACAACGCUCACAUGGUAUAUUAUAACUUCAUCUGGAAAUAAUAUGGAUACAACUUAAGCGUAAGCAUAAGCCGAAUAAGAAAAAUUAUUAUUAUUAAAAUUACCAAUCCCGAUUUCCCCCCAAUCCCAACGACUGUCCGACAUGAAAGUUUCGGUUAGGUCAUUUAUUCCGGCUAUGACCACUUAACCUACAUAUUCCACAGCGGUUUCCGUCAGAUUUCUCCCUAAUGUCCAUCUCAUUACGGAUUCUUUUUGACUGCGGACGACCCCUUGGAUUCCUCCGUAGCCCUGCGUAUGGGAGAAGCUCGAAAGUGAUCCGCGGCACCUCCCACGUAGAUAGGUCCGGCAGGACGGGGAACUCAUUCUCCCAGACACGCAAUGUGCGCUCCAGCGUGUACACAUCAUCCACAUAUUGUUCAGCAGCAAUGUUGACUUUAGCACACGCUGCCACGACAUGCGCACAGGGGUAAUGAAGUGUUUCGAACUUCCUGCACUCGCACCGUCUGUUCCCGAGAUCAACUCCGUAGAACCUAGGUCGACGACCGAUGUUCUCAGUAACUCGAAACGUUUCCAGUCGUCGUGAAUAUAUUUCCACGUUCAUUGACCUCGCCAACCGACGAUUUACGACCAUUGCAUCCCUCACAUGUUCAACAAACACAUGUCCCGCUUGAAUCUGGUCAACUUGCUGCUGACCCAUUCUUGGCAUCAAAGUGGCCAGCCUGUAAAAAGUAGCAGAAAAUACCGAUGCAAUCGGAAGAUGACGUGUUUUCAACAAGACUGCGUUGAUCCCCUCGACUAAGUUUGUGGUCAUGUGGCCAUAACGAAAGCCCUCGUCAGCACUUUGAGCCCACUGCCACGGCUGCAUUGUGCGCAACCAUUGUCGAAAAGAUGUGUUUGUCUGCCCCUCCAUGUCAGUCUCAAGUCGGGUCAUUCUUUACCGGAAAAUAUGUGGCUCUAACUCGUACGUUGCAUACGUAUUAACGAAAAAUAAGUGCUGACGAGUGGAUAAAAUCAAACAUUACAGCUUGUAUUGAAAAUAUAAGGUUAUCAUUUACCCAUUGCCACGACUUGUCUCUUCCAGUCUGCAUUCUUAUAAUCUUUAUGGAAGUUUGACGCAAUGUGACGAAUGCAGUAAAUGGAUCUCCACGGCACACCGGAACGCCUAAUAGCUGCAAUUAAACCCUUCCCUCUAUCGGAGAUGAUGCAAAUGUUAUCGUUCCUAAUAACAUACCUUCGCAGAUUUGUCAGGAAAAAUUCCCAAGACUCCAUGUUCUCUUUAUCUACGAUAGCAAAUGCUAUCGGGAGCACGUUUCUGUUACCGUCUUGAGCAACUGCAAUAAGCAGUCUCUGUGUAUACUUUCCAUACAGCUAGGUCCCAUCCACCUGCACAAGUGGCUUGUAGUGGGGAAAUGCCCGCACACAUGGAUCGAACGUCCAGAACAUCCGAUGGAAAAUCCUUUUUGCCGGCUCUAACUGCUCAUCCGGGCCGUAAGAUAGACUGGUCUGCAACUCAAUCACAGUCCCCGGUACGUACUCCCGCAUAGCAGCUAUCCAACCUUGAAGCUCGUUAUACGACGAAUCGUAAUCCCCAUACAGUUGCUCUAUCGCCAUCUGUUUAGCUACCCAUGCCUUUCGAUAUGAGACUCGAUACUAGAAUCGUGCUUGUAUUUCCGCAAUGAGUACCGAAACUCUAAUGGUCAGCAUAUCCUUCACCAUUGGCAUGAUACAUGCACAAAUAGUUUUCGAAUCAAGUUUUCCAUGAUCUUCUAUCAUACGUGUUGAUGUGCAUGUAUGAGGACCAACAAAUUUUCGUAUCUCCCACAUCUGAGAACUUCUAAUGAAUGCAGCUCGUACCCGCCAAUUGCAGCCUUCCGCUGCCUUCCAACACUCCCCAACAUAUGUUGUUGGAGUAGACACGAAGACUUUAUAAUCCACCGAUAUCUUCAUGCUGUACCGUUUAAUGGCAUAUACGCAAUCUUCUUUGCAACUGAAUCUCUGGCCUAUGAAUAACUCAUCAUCAUCAGAUGUUACGGCCUGCCCGUGAGCAUGAUAUAUUUCAGGGUACUCCGGAAACUCAGAUACAUACGCUGCGUCGGGAUCUAUGAGCGACAUGUGUGGCCCAAGAUUAUUGUGUAUCACAAUACGCCGCAUCUGCUCCCCGACUAAACAAGCGUUGACAUCUUCAGCGUCAAUAUCAUUAGGUACAUCGUCCAAAUCGGGAUCAGCGUCACUAUCGACCUCUCCAUCCCAAUGAUCGCCACCACCUUCUUCUUCGCCGGCACAUUCUUCUUCACCACCAACCAUGUCAACAUCGGGUGUAAAAUUCAGGUCGAUACCGAUCCCACCCAUAGUUGAUUCACUAUCAACGUAUGAUAUUGGAGCCACCAUCCGCGGUUCUUCAGCCCCGUCUUCUUCAUCAGAUGCAUUUUGCUCCAUACCGACUAACUCAGCAAAUAAGUGAAUCGGUGCAUUCUUCUCACUCCCAUUCCCACAGUACAGAUUGACCAUUGUCUCCACGUCUUCGUCGUCUACAAGUUCCAUUUCGACGAAUUUGACCGGGUUUGUCGAAACUGAAAACUUGUAGAAAAUUUUUGAUAUCCUUCUCCCACAACGUCUAUGGAUUUUUGCAUUAAUCCUUGCCUUCAUUUCAUCGAACGAUACAUUUUUAUUAAAUCUCAUUGCUAUUUGUUGCCGACAUUCAAAUACACAUCCAACACUUGUUGUCAAUAUGACUCCAUCGAAAUAAACGCAUACAAGAAACUUAGCAUCCAUCUUCAAUAUUUAAUCUGUCAAAAAAAAAAACAAAAUAUCAUAAAAAAUCUCGAACGGUAACUGAAUUACUUAAAAAAAUUUAUACUCAAAAUAAUACACAAAAUAAUACACACUAAAAUUAUUAAUUUUAUACUACGAAUAAUAUUAAUAAAUUUAUACUCAAAAUAAUACACACUAAAAUUAUUAAUUUUACUAACAAAAAACUAACUAUAAUAAUAAUACUAAUUUUUUACUAACUUGUUUAUUUUCGUAAAUAAAAAUAAUAAGUAACCAUAAUAAUAAUACUAGUUUUCUGCUAACAAUAAUAAUAAUAUUACUAAGUUACAUCUUAAUACAUUAAUAACAUCUUCAUACUAACAACAACAACAACAACAACAACAACAACAACAACAACAACAACAACAACAACAACAACAACAACAACAACAAUAAUAAUAAUAAUAAUAAUAAUAAUAAUAAUAAUAAUACUAACUAAUACUUUUAUUUUGAGUUUUAUUAAUCUUAAUAACUAAACUACAACAAAAAAUAUUACAAAAUAUACAAAAUAAUAACAAUAAUAUAAUCAAUUAUUUUUUAAAAAAAUACCUCCUUUUUUUCUUCUUCUCCGCGCCAACUCUUCUUUUUUUUUUUUGAAUUUUCUCUCUUUUGCUUUCUUUUUUUUUUUUUUGAUUUUUCUCUCUUCAGCUGGGUAGAGGUUGUAUUAAUAAUACCAGUGGUGCCGCCAAUGGUAUUGGCACAAUUGGUGCCGCCAAUGGUAUUCGCACCAUUGGUGCCGCCAAUGGUUUUGGCACCUUUGGUGCCGCCAAUACCAUUGUCCUGACCAGUACAUUGUCAGAUUUUUUUUUUUGCAGGUUUGUUUUUUUUGUUUUUUUUAUAUAUUUUGGUAAAUAAUAAAAAAGUUUAAAUAUUUUGGUAAAUAAAAAAAAGUUGUAAUAUUUUGGUAAAUAAAAAAAAAGUUGUAAUAUUUUGGUAAAUUUUUAUUUUUUUUAUAAUAUUUUGGUAAAAAACUCUUUUGCUUCAAAAUGCUUUCCUAAAUAUAGAAAUAUGAAUUUAAAGGAUUAAAAGCAUAAAAUUCACCGUUUUACAUCAAAUAAUCAUCCAAAAAUGCAUUAAGAACGUGAUUAAAAUAUAUUACUUUUAUCACUUAUCACAAACAAACUGUAUGACAUUAAGGCUGUAAUUAUUUUGGUAGAUUGGGUUGUUAGCAAGUGUUGUACUGAGAGUUUGUAUAAUUCAUUCUCCGAUCAAGGCCGUUGGAUGUUUAACUAAACUGUAUAAUCUCUAGUCUCCAUUACCAUUUACGCUUUACUAUUAUUUAUUACAUUUUUGCUUUGUCAUAACAUCCUCUUACAAUAUUACCUAUAACAUUCAAUUAGAACAAUCUUUAACAUAAGACAUUUUUAGUUUCUUAUACUAUUAUUUAAUUUUUCACCCAAAUAAAUUAAAAAGUUAAAGCACUAAAUAAAAGAGAAGAUUGAAAAAGGGUGUCUUUUAUCUGCCAACUACCUCUAGAUCCUCUAGCUCCCUUGUAGAAGCCAUUGCAUACAUCUUUGGGCAAUCAGCUACUGAAAUUGUAAACAAAGAUGGACGUUGCAGGGUAAUACUUCCCACACAAAAACUUGUCAACCUUGAACAUGACUCAAGUCUUAAGCAUGGGUAACAAGGGUGUAGCCAUUUCAGUUUCCUCUGCUCCUUUUUUGAUAAUCUGCUCCAUCAUAGGGCAUUGUUUCACUUUUAUUUCUUCUAGUUGCGCAAGAUCUAAAGCCAUGGAAACGCUAAAUAUGUAUGUCAUGCUAUUACACUCAUAAACUUCUAAAACCGUAAGUUUCUUCAAAUCCAAACUUCCAUGAAUGUUCUCCUUCCAUAUUUCAACUGACUUGGAAAAUUCUGAGAAGACUAACUACCCAAUAGCUUGGAAACCGGCCUCCAAAAUCCAACAACGAAACAAGGAUUAAAGCUCAUAAAGGUUAUAACGAAGCCAACCCAAACCAUAUGAAAGAAAGAAUGAUAUUAUGGAAUAAGCUAGGAUAACCAAAGCUAAAUUAAAGGAAUAUACAAUAAUACCUUUAUUGAAUACAUUUCUUGGAUAGUGUUGUUAAGGUCACUACACCAAUGUCCAUUAUCUUUUCCACAUUCUACACCAAGAGAUAAUAAGGUUUUCAAGAGUGUAGAAUCUCUCAAGGAAAGAAAUUUGGAAAUCAAUUGAUUUAGCACCAACGCCAGGCACUUCACAAGCUUUUAUUUCAUGAAAAAGGCUGCUUGAAAAUUGACCAUCACUUACCAUUGCAAAGUAAUCACUAUGUAAUGCCAAAUGUUGUAGUUUAGGGAUGACCUGAAAACCAAUCAAAAAAUAAUUUUGGAGUCAAUAUGAGAAGAAAAGUGCAUGCAGAAAGAAUAGCAUUUGUUACAUAAAUGAAACAUCAAAUAUUUUCAAAAAAUUCUUAAUUAAUAUCAUACUCUCUUCAUCAGUAAAUUAAGUUUUCUAAAUAAUAUUUCAACCUUAAUUAUCAUAAAUUUUUUUGUUAAAUAAUUAAAUAAAAAAGUUACUUUUUAGAAUUAAGUGUAAUGAUAAUUAUACAAAAUUUGUUAAUAUUAAGUUUAGUACUUGUAUUGGUAAGGUAAGAUACCAAACAUUAAUAAGAUAUAUCGGCAAACAUAUUAUAAAAUGUUAAAUUGAUUGUUUGUAAAUUUAUAUUAUGAAAUUGAGUCAUAUUAAAGUAAAAUUUAUCAAUAAUUCAUAUUAGAUCAAUGAAUAUGGCUGCCACUAGCCAGCAACAACAUACUCUAGUAGAGAGCAAUUCAACCUGCAAUAAAAGGGCAUCUCCCAUAACUCUUUAUAAAGCAACUGCGCCAAAAUGAUAAGCGAAAUAAUCAAUUUCUGCCAUUAAACUACAUUUUAUGCUUAAGCUCAUUACUAAAAGCAGGAUAUUUUUAACACUCAUACCUUAUGAAACACAAUCAUGUUUGUGAUUCUUUGAAUCUCAUACUUUUCUAAAGCAAAUAUUGAGCUGAAACUUUUCAAUAAGAAUAGUCUAUAAAGUAGAAGGAUGUAAUAAGUUUAAGAAAAUACAAAUUUAAGGCUCUUUUCAUAGUAAUGGAUUGAGUGAUUGUCACUGCAUGAGUGCAUGUAAAUUGUUGGCAUAUUUAUUAUUUGCAUCCGCUGUAAUUUCAUCAUUCAUCCCCUUAUAUAAAAAUGGAACAAAGUAAUCCAAAGUUCUGUUUUUUCCCUUCAAUCAAACACACAUGUAAGGUAUAGACUCACACAGUUAGUUGAUUGGUUGUGCCGUAUCUUUCUCCAGUUUUCCACACCCAUGCUGCUCUGUUCCUCUAAGUAAGGUUAGUUUGCUAGAGAAAAGCAAGUAGUACAACAAGAAUAGGGAAUCAAAUAUCUAAGAAAAAUGAAC